rnacentral:lncRNA from 1 species
GGCGCUUGAAACAGUGAACUCGCCACCAGAUUCAACAUUGGCGACAGUCACCUUAAGGUUGUCCAACAACAUAGCAAAUCUCUUUGUCCUAACACCAAGACCCUUGUCCUUGAGGUCAAGCUCAAGUCCGAGUAGCUUUGUGUAUUCUCCUGACCCGUCUGCUACAAACUUCACAUGCUUGUUGUCUGGGUAUGUCUUUCCCCAAGCCUUCAUCACAAAUGGAUCAUUCACUGCAACAAAUCAAUUGCAAAUUAUGUUUAACCAAACAGCUUUAAUUAUAAAUUUUUGAAUAUACAAAUUGAUAGAGAUCAUGAUAUUCACCGCUAAAGCAAAUGAUCUCAUCAACACCCUUUGAUUUCAGCUCCUCUGCUUUGUCAAUGAAACUAGGCACAUGCUGCAUGCUAAUUCAAGAAAAGAAAACAUAAAUUGUCAAAUAUAAAUCUAAGGAUCCAGCUUAGCAACUACACCAAUAUACACAAAAGUUGAGUAACAAAACUACUUAAAGGAUAAACCUGAAAACCUAAUCUGAUUGAGAACAAGAAAAAAAAAGUAUCAUAUUUCAUAUCAAAUUAUGACAAAACUCCUCUAUAUAUGGUACGCCUCACGAGUCAGGAUCUAAGGCGAUUUACAACUAUAUAUACACUACAAAAAAAACAAGGCCAUUACGGAAAUUCUAAUUAAUUUAAAUCCGUCUGAAAUUCUCAACGAUUUCCAAUGAAACGGAUGGAAAAAAUGGCGUCAUCGGAAAUAUAUAAAAAUGUCACAUCCUGACCUCAUUUUCGACAACAACUGAACAUUUUAUGACAAAUAAGAAAAAGUUUGGAGGAUUUUACCUGCAGGUCGGGGUAAAAGCACCAGGUACACCGAAGAGAACGACCUUCUUACCGGCGGCGAAAGAGUGAACGGAAACGGUUUGGACCUGAUCAUUCUCGUCGAAGAAGGAGAUUGAUCCGUCUGGUACAACAUUGCCGACAGCAAUUGGAGCCAUGAUCAGAAGCAAAUGAUUUGAACUUUAAAGUAAAUGUGAAAAUGGAAGAGGUUAAAGUGUGAAAUGAAAUGGAUGGCUUUUCAGAUAAUUUAUAGGACUUUUGGAUAAUUAUCAUUAAUUGAGUUUCUUUUAUUUUUUAUGGUCAAAAUAACUGAUUUUUUUUCUUGAUUACCUUUUUGUUUGGUGAAGAUACGUUUCCGGAAUGAAAAAUCACUAAUUCAUUUUCUUUCCUUUUGUUCUUUUUACUAUUUUUGAUUUUCUUUCUUGAUCACUACUUCUUCUUUGCUUGGUCAAAAUUCAUGAUUACGAUUCUUACCUGUAAAUUUUGAAUGAUAAAAGAUAUAUAUUUUCCAAAAUUACAGCAACUUGUUUUUAGAAACCUUAGUAAAAAAUUUAGUAGUCAAAUUUACAAAAUCUUUUGAAAAACUUAUUAUGGUACAUAUGAAAAUUCUUAUGGUAAUAAAUCUUUUUUUUUUGGAAUACCCAAAAAUCAAUAUGAUGGAAAUAAGAAAAUUAUCUUGGUUAGGAAUUUUACUUUUUUUGUUAGAUUUAUUUCUUUUCUGGCCAAAAAUACUGUCUGUUUUUUUUUCAAUAUCAAAAAAAAAAUAAACAAAAAUACUAUUUUCUAUUAUUAUUUGAGAAGGACACUUAAAAAAUAACCUUUAUGUCAUGUGUUAUUAACAAUUUUGUCAUGCUAAUGUUCAAUCUCAUAAAGCUUCUCAAAGAUUUUUUGAAAUUAGACUAAACUUACUAGAUUAAUUACAUCAUAUGCCAUUAACAUUAAUUUAGUUAAAGAUUAGUUUAUAUCAAAUAUAUAUUUAAUACUCAAACAUUUAAUUUGUAAAUAUAUUCUCUCUCUUUCUAUUUAUUAUCAACAUAUUUAUAAAAAUUUAAUACAUAAUAUUACUUAUGUUACUAAACAUUAUUUUCUUAUCUCAUCUUUAUUUAAUUUUAAUUUUGUUAAAAAAUAAUCAUAUUAUCUAUUUAAUAAUUAAAUUUAAAUUUUUUCAUUCAUAUUAUAAUUCACAUUUUUUAUAUCAAAGCAAAGUAUCUUAGUCUGAUGUUAGACCGGUUAGAUAGAACAUAUUAAUCUAAUUUAGUAUAUUUAAUGUAUAAUUUUAUUCAUCUAAAAAAUAUUAUUAAAAUUAAUUAUAAAAUCAAUAAUUAUCUAGUAUUUAUGCAAUUGUAUUAUAAAAUAAAUAUAACUUUGAUCAUUAUUUAUAACUAAAUUUUGCGUCCACGCUACGCGUGGGUAUUUUUUUGAUAAAAAUUAUAUGCAAUCAAUUAUAUUUAUUAAGAUAUAAAUUUUAUAUAUUAGUGAUUUAAUAAUAUAUUAAAAAUAUUAUGGUGUUAAUUAUUAUGUAAAUUUAGAGGUUUUAAGGGUUUUGUUUUAAAUCUAUAUACAGAAUGUCAUAUUUCAAAAAUGUAUUAAUUGGUCGAACAUUUAUAAGUUAAUAUACUCAAAUCAACUAAAAAAUUUACAAAUUAAUUAAAUGAUACUUUUUAAACAUAGUAUUGACAUGAUGAUAAAAUAUUAUACAUUCACUUCUUUAAAUCAUGAAGAUAAUUUUUUUCAUCAUUUUCACUUUUCUUCCAAUUAUAUAUGUGAUCUUUAAAAACAAUAAAAAAUAAUACAAUUUAAAAUUUAAUCUUUUUUCUUCUCUUGUUUAACUGAUACAAAUUUUUAUUUUGUUAUAUUAAUUUAAACAACAAAUAUUUGCUUUGAGAUUAAUAACAAAUUUAAAUUUGAAACCAAAAUAAUAGUUGAAUAUAAAAUAAAUAAAAUCACACAAAAUUUGUGAAUUAAAUAUAUUAUCGUCAAUUUGUUGUGCAAACGUUUGAAAAUUUUUUCAAUGAUUAUACGUCAUCUCUUCUAUUAAGAAUACUUUUUUUCAUCAUGUUCAUUUUUAUUCUUGUUAUAUCUGUUUUUUCAACGAUAUAUCAUCUUUAUUUAUUUUAAUGAUUUUUGUAUGAUUAUCUUCAGUUUCAUCAUAUUCAUUCUUAUUUUUUGUAAUUAUAAUUAAGUAGGCAAAGCUGGUACAAUUUAAUAUAUAGAGAUCUAGAAAAAUGAAAUAACAAAUUGAACAACUCAAAAAUUCUACAUUAAUCAUUGCAAUUCCAAGUCGAAUAUACAAGAUGUAUUUUUUUGAGCAUUUUCGCAUAAUAUAUUACAUGAGAUUAUGUAGAAAUAUGUUUUGCAUAUGUAAAAAAAAUAAUUAAUAUAAAUUAUAAUUAUUAAUUAUUUAAAUUUCUACGUGAAAAACCUUAAAUCAAGUAACCUAAACUUGUAUAAGUAGCAUAUAUUUUUAUAGAUAAUAAAUUAAAUUUAUAACUUAAACAUCAAUAAUGAAGAUUUUAAUAUCAUGUUUUUUUUGUUAAUAGAGAUUUCUUUAUUCUUUAAUAUUUUUCUUAAUAGAUUUAGAAUUUUUUUAAAUUUACAAUUUUGAUAUAUACGAAUAAAGUUUAAUUUUUAAAUACUGAUAUGAAUGCUUUGAAAAUAAUAGCUUUAACUGUUAUUAAUAAUAGAAUAAUUUUAAUUAACAAUUUUUCGUAUAUUUUUUGUAUUAACAAUGUAAUUUAAUAAUUUAGAAUUUUUUUAAAUUUUAGUUAUUGAUGUACACUAAUAAAUUGAAAUUUUAAAUUUUUGUGGAUGUUUUUAGAGGCAUAUAGCUACGAUUUUAUUUUUCUAUAAAUUUAUUUUUUUGUUAACCAUAUAAAUUUUAAAUUUUGGAAAUUUUUUUAACUUUAAAUAUUGAUGUGGACCAAUAAAAUUGAACUUUUAAAUCAUAUUUGGACAUUCUUAUAGGCAUAUAGCUUUUACUUUUUUAAUAAUAGAUGUAAAAAUCAAAGGUAGAAGAUUCUACAAGAGGCAAGUGAUUGUGGUCUCUCCUUGUUUUGAGGCUUACCGAAUGUAUUUGGAUGCUGCUUGGUCUGCUAGUUGUUACCUUUUUGGUUAAUGUUAGGUUGUUAAAACCCCAUUAGAUGCCAUGUUAUUUCAAAAAACUUCUUCGGAUACCUCAAUCUUCGUCUUAAUGACGGAACUUCUUUCUCUAUUUUCAAGUGCUUCGUUUUUCAAAAGUGUCAUAAUUUUGGUCUCGCCUUCUUGUUUUGAGGCUUACCGAAUGUAUUUAGAUGUUGAUUGGUCAGCUAAUUGUUACCUUUGUGGUUAAUGUUAGGUUACUAAAACCCCAUCAGAUUCCAUGUUAUUUCAAAAAUCUUCCUCAGAUACCUCAAACUUCUUUGUCUUAAUGACGAACCUCUUUCUCUAUUUUCAAUGCUUCAUUUUUCAAAAGUUUCGAGUAUCAAUCACUUGACAUGUUUCUCGGAUUGCUUGAAAUUUAUCAUUCUUCUCAAAUUCGGUGGCCAAGCUUUGUAGAUUUUUCGGUCUCUUUUUCGAUAUUAAAGCGGUUUGUAAUGGCUUUGUUUAUAUCUUUUUCAUUAUAGUUAAAAAUAUAAUUUAGUCAAGUUGGUUCUUUUACGUUGUAAUGACUUAUUUUUUAUUGAAACUUAACUCUAUUUUUUUGUUUUGUAUAUUUGAAAUGGUUGCACACACAAAAAAAAACUUAAAACUUAUUAUAGUUAUGUGACAAAAAAAUUGAAUGCUAAUGUAAGAGUCUCUAAAUAUGUGUUUAUACCUCUAAUUUAAAUAUUAAAUUUCCUAUUUUAAUAUUAUUUAUUUUAGUUGUUAUUAUUAAUAUAAAUUGUAUAUAUAAUUUCUUUUUCUUUAAUAAUUUUUAAAAACAAUAAUAUAAUUUGAAAACUUUUUAAUUUUCAAUGUUGAGGUGGACAAAUAAAAAAAUUACAACAAAAUAUUUGUCCAGCAAUAAUAUUAGAAUUUGUAAAGUUUCUUAAUUUCUUUAUUCAGCAAUAAUAUUAGAAUUUGUAAAUUUUUUUUAAUUUUGAAUGUUGAUGUGGACUAAUAAAAUUAUAUUUUUUAAUCUUAUGUGGACACUUUUAAUACAUAAUUCUUUAUUCUUUUAUAUAUAUUUUAUUAACAAUAAUAUUAGAAUUUGGAAAUUUUCCUUAAUUUUGAAUGCUGAUGUGGACCAAUAAAAUUACUCUUUUGAAUCCUAUAUGGACGCCUUGAGAAGCCUAUAGCUUCAACUUUUAUUAGUAUAAGAUUGCAUAAUCAUCAUAUAUAUUUGUAAUUAUAAAUAUCAGCUAAUAUUUUUAUAGCUGUAUUUAUAUAUAUUAUAUUUGCACAUUUGAAUAAAAGAAUUAUAAUUAAUAUUUACCCUGCAUAUGGUGCGGGUAAUCAACUAGUCUUUGAUUAUAGUAGAGAUAGAAAGAGUGACAAAAGAAAAACAGAAUGCUAAAGCCUAAACGGAGAAAAGGAUUCUUAUUGUGUGACAAUUAACGUGCAUGGAAUUUCUUUCAUUCAUAAUAUGUCGAAAUCUAUAAUCUGUUGGGCCUAAGAAUUAGGCUAUUAAGCCUAUUAUCAAUCUUGACAUAAUGACAUCUUGUAAUUUGUAGAUCUAUUGGAAAUUUAUAAGUCAAGAAACGAAUGAUGAGUGAUUGCCAAUUUAUUUUACGUACCCAAUAGCUCAUUCUAAUAUUACAUACCCACAAAUCCAUAAUGAACCCUAUUGAACCUAAACUGAACCAAGAAUCGAAAUAAGCCCAAACAUGAGAUAAACUCAAAACUCAACAAAACCAUCAAAGAGGAAAUAGCAUUGUUGAUAUGAGGAAGCUGAAGCGAUGUUCAAUCAAGCGAGUUGCAGAAUCUGACUUUCCUGAUAAUUAAGCUCCAAUGUGACAAACUCCUUUUUUGAGCUUAUCUUCAACAGUUCAACGAUACAUUGGUAUGAACCCUAGAUCAAAUCUAAGCACAUCACUCCAGAUCUUGGUCUCCGAUAACAAACGCAUAUAUAGUUUGUUAAACAAUUCACAACACAGCAUAAAGAAUGAAGAACACCAUACAACUUUGACUUAUGCUAAAACUUUCUUAGUAACAGCAAAACCUCUGGCUUAUUACCAAGGAUUUAUGUUCCUAAAAUAGACCUUAUUUGGUGCUUAUCAUUGCCUCAUUCAGUUUGAUAUGUCUCAUAUCUUUCAUAAAUCAACACAAAGAAAAACACCAACACCAACACUUUGAUAUUACGACAUAAGCAAGUCACUACCGCUUUAUUAUGCCUGCUUAGUGAAAUCAGGCUUAGAGUCUUCACUUUCAAAUGCAGCGGUUUUACAUUCAUAAAUACAAAAGACAAUGAUAAAGUUUACUUAGAGAGCCUUGAGGAUAUCAUCGGCGCUUGAAACAGUGAACUCGCCACCAGAUUCAACGUUGGCGACAGUAACCUUGAGGUUGUCCAACAACAGAGCAAAUCUCCUUGACCUAACACCAAGACCCUUGUCCUUGAGGUCAAGCUCGAGUCCAAGAAGAUGUGUGUAUUCUCCUGACCCGUCUGCUACAAACUUCACAUGCUUGUUCUCUGGGUAUGUUUUUCCCCAUGCCUUCAUCACAAAUGGAUCGUUCACUGCAACAAAUCAAUGCAAAUAAUGGCGUUUAACACUAUGAAACCAAACAAGCUAAUAUACAAAUGAUUGAUCCAAGUGUGUAUCGAUUUUCUUGCUCUGCAUUUCUUCUAAAAUCCCAUAAGAGAUCAGAGGUUCGAUACGGAAGAAUCAUACUCACCGCUAAAGCAGAUGAUCUCAUCAACACCCUUUGAUUUAAGCUCCUCUGCUUUCUCAAUGAAUCCAGGAACAUGCUUCAUGCUAAUUCAGGAAAAACAAAACACAAAACCAAAAUCAAAAAUUCUCAAAUCGAAUCUAAGAAUUAAUCAGACCAGCAUGGAACAUGCUUCAUGCUAAUUCAGGAAAAACAAACACACAGAACAAAGUCAAAAUUCUCAAAUCGAAUCAAAGAAACAGUCAGACCAGCAUCAUGUGAAUUCAGGAACAUGCUUCAUGCUAAUUCAUAAAAAAAAAAAAAAAAAAUUCACACUCGAUACUAAGUAUCAAUUAGCUAAGCAUCAAAUCCUAAUCUGAUUGAGAACAAGAAAAAAUUAUCAAUUUUCGACAAAAUUCCAAUAUAAUUCGGUAAGCCUCCCGAUAUACAACUAAAUUAAGUGAGCAAAGAAGGACAACUCGGUAAACAAAAUCACAAAUUCUCAAACAGAAUCUAAGAAUCAAUCAAUCCAGGAACAUGCUGCAUGCUAAUUCAAGAAAAGAAAAGAAAAUGUAAAUUCUCAAACUCGAAUCUAAGCAUCUAUUAGCUAAGCAUCAAAACCCACAUACAAAAACUCUAGUUAAACCAUGUAAACCUAAUCUGAUUUGAGAAUUAAAAAGUAUAAAAUUUCAUAGCAAAUUUCGACAAAACUUCGCAAAAUCGGAAAGCUUAAUCUGAUCUAUAACUAAAUUAAGAGAGCGAAGAAAAAAAAAAAUCAGAGGAUUAUACCUGCAGGUAGGUGUGAAAGCACCAGGGACACCAAAGAGGAUGACUUUCUUACCGGCGGCGAGAGAGUGGACAGAGACGGUCUGGAGCUGAUCAUUCUCGUCGAAGAAGGAGAUUGUUCCGUCUGGUACAACAUCGCCGACAGCAAUCGGAGCCAUGGAUGAGAUCGGCGGCUGAGAAGCGAAAGAAAAUUGAAGAAGAUGAGAAAAUGGUAAGAGUCUAAAAAGCGAUGGACUUUGACUUGAGUUUGAGAGUGAUAAUGAGAAAAUGUAGGGUUUCGGACAAUUUAUACGGCUUCUCGGGAUUAUUUAUAAAUCAUUUACCUGGUUUUCUGAAAUUUUGUAUAUUGAUUGCGAUUUUGUUAGCUGUAACGGUAAGUCAAAAUUAAUACUUAAUUUUCAAAUAUCAGUUUCCAAUGAGUGAAUUUGAGGAGUCGAUUUUCAAGUAUCAGUUUCCAAGAAUAUUCUGAAGUCACUUAACUUGAUUUUUUUCAAGAAGUACGUACAGUAUGUUCCGGGAAUACAAACGACAUGUAUUUUUAGUGGUCAAUUUUACAAAAGCUUUUUCAAAUUUUACGAAAAUAUCUAAAUUAGUCUUCUUUUUUUUUAACACAAUCUAAAUUAGUUCAUUAGUAUUAUGUGGUUAGUAAGUAUUUAAUAUAAAUGUAAGUAAGAAAUUUAUCUUAGUAAAACUUUUGUUACAUAAAAAAAAAGAUGAUUUGCAUGAAUAAUAGAUUUUAGUAAACAAAUUAGCUAAUUAUCAUAAAUUGAUUAUAUAGCUGUAAUCAACUGCAAAAAGUAGGUGGGAAAGACUGAAUAUCUCUUAUACUAUAAUUCUGGAUAAAACUUUUUCUGACACGAUAUGAGACCACAAAACCUUAAAAAGAUGGAGACUUUACUUGCUUCUUUGUACGAUAGCAACAAGAACUUUAACCAACAUUAAUAUUUAUUAUUAUUUUAUAAUAUAUGUGUAGUAGUAAGUUAAUUAUUAUUUUCUCUCUCCACUAGCUUUCUCUUCCUCUCUGUUAUUCUUCUAAUCUUCUUCUUUUGUGUUUCUUUUUCUAAACAAAAUAUUCAGAAUGAGUGAAUUUUAGAUAGUGCAGUGCUGAUUUGAGUAAUCUAAUUUUGCCAUUUAGCUUUAUGGGUUGGAUUUUUUCAAGAAAUUAUACACGAUACUUUUUUGCUCAAACAUUUGAAAUCUGAGAUAACUCUAUAGCAUAAUUGACUAUUUUCAAAAAAAAAUAUUUACUCAGAGUAUGCGGUUAUGUAGUAAAAGACUAUUUUCAUAAAAAAGUUGUAUCCUCAGAUGAACAUCCUCUCACUCUAAAAUUAUGAGACAUUAUGGACGAUAUUUUCUAUGGUUGCACCAAGUUGAAGGUAAAUAAACAUAUAUCAAAUAGUCACAUAUCACUUUAGUAUAGACGUUCUUUUCGAUUCUAAUGCUUUUGUUUGUAGUAUUCAUAUAUUUAUAGUAGAUGACUACUAAUAUGUGACUAUGUUUAAAAUGUAGGUGGUUGUUAUCGACCAUGAUCAGUAUGACAACAUUGCAUAUGAGAAUCUUAUGGGAGAGGUGUACACAACCAGUUUUUGGAGACCCCUUUAUGAAAGACCUUUCUACCCAGAACCAACAUAUGUAUGUUUUGGUGACUCGGAACUACUUCCCCCAUUAAUGCGCUGACCACAUGGUCGAUAAAAGAAAAUAAAAAUUCCAUCCCGAGGAGAAAUGAAAGUAACGUAGUCAACUAUUUAGUGUUUGUAAUAUAGUCAACUUUUUAGAUUGAGUUGUAGUUGACUACUUUUUGGUAGAAAUGUGGGUGAUCUAAUUCUUUGAAUGACACAUAGAAAUUUGAAAAAUGUGGCAAGGCUUUGCAGCAGGUGUCUUGGGAGGGGUCACAAUGGUAACUCUAUGGCCAUAGUUCACUAUUUUCAUAGAAGAUUAUUUUCUCAGAGUAUGUAGUUAUGUAGUAGACAACUAUUUUAUAAAAAAGUUUCAUCCCCCUCAGACAAACUGAAAGUGUGAGACAUUAUGGACGAUAAUUCCUAUAGUUACACAAAAUUGAAAGUAAUUAGACAUAUACCAACUAGUCAUCUAUCACUUCAGUAUAGAUGACUACUAAUAGGUGACUAUGUUGAAAAUUAAGGUUCGUUUGAUUGACACAUAGACGUUGACUACUUUGUAACGUAUUUUGAUUAGAUAGCUAGUACUCAAAAUCGAUUAUUAGUAGUUGUUUAUUUUCUCCAUACAACUCAAAGUUGAUUCUAAUAUUAAGUAAGUAUUAAUAAUUGUCUAUUUCAAUUAUAUAACUACUACUCAAAGUUGAUUAUUGGUAGUUGUCUAUUUUCUCUGACUCAAAUAAUUCAGGGUAGCGUUUCAUCAAGCUGGGUCAUUUAAUGAAGGCAGAUAGGUUGAGCGCCCUGAUGACAGAUGGUUCCUUGAAUGUUUGGUUUAAAAUCUUUCAUGAACUAGCAAAUAAAAAAGCAUCUUCUGAAGAGUCUCUAGCAACUCUUACAAAGACAUCAAUGAAUGCAUUGUGGAUCUGGAGAAGCACAUUAUUUGUGAAUGGUGUGGGUUCACAUUGUUGAAGAGAACACAUAUCCCUACAAAGGAAAAUGACAAAAGUUAGUUAUUGUAAACUGAUUACUAUUGUAACGUAGUUAACUAUGAAUAAUUGUAAUUAGUAGUUGGUUAUAUGUGCAUAGUAGUUAUGUAAACUAAAUAUGGAGAAGUUGUUUAUUGUAUCUGUUAUAGAUGAUAAAAAUAGACGAUUACUAAUGACGAUAUUCAAUGUAGUUAUUAUUUACUCAGUAUGCAUAUAAAAAUAGUUAACUACUCUAGAACUUCAAAAUCAAGAGAAUCAUAUAUCGAUAACAACGAAGAAGAUGAUGGAACCGGGUGAAUACAGUGAACUAGAAAUAAAGUUGAUUAUAGAGAACCAGAAAUCGAAGAAGUGAGCAAAAAAAAAAAUACUAGCUACUGACUAAAUAAAACAGACAAAUAGUUAGCUACUGGCUAAAUAACUAUUAUUGUGAUGUAAAUAACUAUCAUUAUUCAAAUGAGUAAUUGACUAUUCAUGUAUAGUAGUUUUAUAGACUAACUGAAUACGCGCGUAGACAUUUAUUAACGUUGUAAACCAGAUGUGGAUAACAAACAAAAAGGCAACUGUACUGGGAAAAUACAGAGUACAAAUUGGCAGAAAUCACAAGUAGACGAUUACUAAAGACGGUGUAAAUAGUUAACUACAUAGAGAAAGAUAUGAAAAUCCUAGAUCUACAAAAUCAAGAAACUCAGAUGUGGAAAAAAAUAGUGAACAAGGCCACAAUACUGAAGUAAAACGAGAACAAUAAACAUAACAGAAGUAGUAGAAAGAAGCAGAAGAAAACCAGAUAUCAAAGCAAGGGAUGUUAGAGCCUCGCCAUAGAUCCUCGCCUUAGAAAACAAGAGGAGCAAUAAGAUGGACGGACGAGAUUUUGCCGUAAAAACAGAGAGUAGAGAAUUAUGUGGAUGUCUGGAAAUGAAAUUGAGGUUCCGAUAGUUGAGUUUGAGUUUUGAAAUGAGAUUUUCUGGGUAGGUUCUGAAAGAAAAAGAAUCAAUUCAAAAUUUAAAAACAAAAGAGAGAUAAUGAGUUGAACUAAAAGUUUCCGAGCAAAAGUUAUGGUGGUGUUGGAAAUAGAAAUUGUCAGAAUAUAUAAAAGUUUUAUUGAUAUGAUUUAAAUAGAACAGGUAUGGUUUAACCUUGAUGAGGGGGUUCGAUGUCUUUGCUCAAGAUUAAAAAAAAUAGAUUUUAAUCGACCUAAAUAAGACUCUGCAGAAUGCUAUCCCACCUAAUUUCCCUAAAAAAAAGGUACUCCCUCCGUUUCACAAAGAGUGUCGUUUUAAGGUUUUAUUUUUGUUUCACAAAGAGUGUUGUUUUAUAUUUUCAAUGCAGAAUUUUAAACAAUAUUCCAGUUUUGACCCUAUUGAUUUAAUGUAUUAAUUAAAGAAAAAAGUUAUUUAAUGCAUUAAUAAAUGGCAAAAUAGUAUUUUUAAUAGUUUUCUUAAUAAGUGUGAAAAAUGUCAGAAUGACACUCUUUGUGAAACGGAAGGAGUAAGAAACACUAUUUUACCUCUCAGCUUCCAUUACAUGGUCCACUUUACAUCCUCCUGAUCCAGUUGUUCCUUGGGGAAAAGUCGGUUUGGUUCUCUCAGACAAUUUCCUAAACACUCUGUCAUCCAUUAGGUUAUAAACACGUAAAUAAAACUCCCUGACUCAGGAUAGACUUUUGAGAUGGGUUUACAGAUAUCGCCGCUUUGUCUUCUUUGCAACUCUGCACCUGAAACUCAAUCUCAUUUGUUCUUUGAUUGCAAUUAUGCAUCGCAAGUGUGGUCUUCUUUUUUCACUUAUCAACCUCUCAAUCCUGCCUCAUCUCUUUCAAGCAUUGAAGGUUGGGUAAGGUCUGCUUCUUCUAUACCCAAGUUAAAUGUCAUUUGCAAGCUCUUGUUGCAAGCUACAAUCUAUGACUUAUGGAAGGAAAGGAAUGUGAGAUUCAUUUAGCCGUGUCCAAGCCCUCGGCUUAGGUGAUUCGCGAGAUCCAAGGAACUCUGCAUCGGAAGUUGGCAGGCCUCGAUGGUUUUGGGAACAGUCAGCGACGCUCCACAGCCAGCUCCCAGUUUACUUAUCUAUCAGUUUGGUUCGGAUAUAUUCAUUUUAGUCUCAGUCCGACAACUUAGGCCUCUCAUAUAUGGUGUGUGAUCUUCGGUAUUCUCUUUCUGUUAUCUGGUAGUGUGGUUUCCUCUCUCACGGUUUAAUAUGCUAUCUGUUUCUUAGUUUGCUCACCUGUUAGAGCUUAUGGUUCCUAUUGUAACUCAUAAACAAUGUCCCAUUUGGGAAGUGGCAAAAGAGAAAUAAAGUUUUUUUUUAGAAAAUAAACUAUUUUACUUAUUUGUUUAUUUAUUUUUUUGUGGUAAUUCUUAUCUAUAUGCAAUUGGAUGAAUAUCACCUUUUAGUUUAAUUUAUGAAAUCCCACGAUCCCUAAAUUGCACACAUGUAAUGCACAUUCCCAAAAUACAAAGUUCAAAUUCAGUAGCAGACUACAGAUAGCCCUCAGCAAUGUGUAUUACAAUUAGAAUCAGUCAGCUUUGAUCCUUGGCAGAGCUAUCUCUAAUAAUGUACUUAUAACCCACAAAAUCUUAUAUUUCCUGAAAGGAUCAAAAGCUACUAAGAGAUGCUAUAUGGCAGUGAAGACUGACAUGAGCAAAGUUUAUGAUAGAUUGGAGUGAGGUUUUAUUAAAUCUGUUUUUUAGAGGCUAGGUUUCCACGCGAAAUGGAUAAUUAAGUACUGGAUCAUGCAAUACAUCUCUACCGUCUCAUACACCUUUCUUGUAAAUGGAGCAGUCCAAGGACAUGUAACCCCAUAAAGAACAGGCGUCCGUAAAGGGGACCCCAACUCCAUUUAUCUUUAUCCUGUGUGGAGAAGUCUUUUCAGAGUUAUGCAAAAAAACUCAGGAAAGUGGACACUUACCAGGUUUAUAUGUAUCACGAGGUAGUCCAAAAAUCAACAUCCUCUUCGCAGAUGAUAUUAUAUUUUGAGAAAUUUACAAAUUAUAUCACUUUCUGAGUUUAGUUUACACAAAAUAUCACUUUCUGCUACUAUAACACUAUCAGCUUUUAGAUUGGCUAGAUUAUAAUUAUAUCUUUGUCAAUUACACAUAAUUACAAAUAAAAAUAAAAAAUCACACUCUCUCUUUUGUCUUUCUUUCUCUGCGACUACAGUAUAUUUUUUUUCUUUAUUUUUUUUUCUCUUUCCUCUCUUUCCUCAAACUUAUAUUUCUCAUAUUUUAUUUUGUUUAUUUUCUUUUUAUAAAAAAAUAAUUUUGCAUUAUUUUCACACUAUCAGUUAUAUCUAUUUUAUGUCUAUAUUUUGAUACCCAUUUUAUAAUAGUUUACAUAAUUAUAUAAUUUAUAUAUAUUAUAUAAAAAUACACAUAUAUAUAUAGUGUGUACAUGUAUACCAUAUUAUCGUGAAGCAGCAUGUAUGUUCAUGUAAUUGCAUCCACGUAUACCAUAUUAUCGUGGAACAGCAUGUACGUUCAUGUAAUUGCAUCCACGUGUACCAUAUGUGCGUGAAUACGUUUAUAUAUCCAUGUAACUUCGUCCACAUGGACCACAUGUUCGUGGAUACGUCUAAAUAUGGACACAUGUACGUAUUCACGUGGACACAACUAUAUAAUUGCACGUACGUUUUAUCUAAUUAUACGUAUUACAUAUACAUAUAAGUAAACUAUUGAAAAAUGGUACUCAAAAUAUAGAUAUAAAAGAGAUAUAACUGAUAGUGUAAAAAUAACUACGAAAUUAUUUUUUUUAAACACGAAAAUAAACUAAAUAAAAUAUAGAGAAUAUAAGUGUGAGAAAAAAAGAGGAAAGAGAAAAAAAAAUGUCGUCAGAAAAGGGAGACAAGAGAGAGAAUGUGAUUUUUUAUUUUUAAUUUGAUUUAUCUUUAGCCCAAAAAUUAUAAAAAGUAAAAGAAAGAUAAAAUUGUAAUAUAGCCAAUGUAAAAGCUGAAAAAGUGUUAUAGUAGCAGAAAGUGAUAUUAUGUGUAAUAAAAAGACAUAAAGUGAUAUAAUUUGUAAAUGUCUCUUAUAUUUUUCAGUAAAACAAGUCAUUUGUGCGUGAAAGCCUUGUCUCUAUCUUACGAAUGUAUGAAAAAGCAUCAGGACAAGUCAGCAACGAGGCAAAGUCAUCUAUAACCUUCUCGAGCAGUACACCACCAGAAAUCAAAAACAGAGUAAAUUCCAAUCUCAGGAUCACAAAAUAAGGUGGAUAGGGGAAAUACCUCGGUCUCCCUGAGAUUUUUGGAAGAAAGAAGAAAGACCUCUUCAAUCUGAUUGUGGAUCAAAUCAGACAGAGAGCUUUAAGCUGGUCUUCACGAUUCUUCUCUAGUGCAGGAAAGCUCACAAUGAUAAAAUAUGUUCUCUUCGUAAUCCCUACCUACUCGAUGAUGUGAUUUAAGCUGCCCUCUAAUCUCUGCAAAAGAAUCCAGUCAGCUAUCACGAGGUUCUAGUGGGACUCAAAUGUGGGAAAAAAAUAAAAUUUGCUACCUCUCUUGGAAAAAGCUGUCAAAGUCGAAACGAGAAGGAGGACUGGGCUUAGAGAAUAGAAAGUUUCAAUGACUCUCUCCUAGCAAAGCUAAGCUGGAGAAUUAUUCAAAAACCAUCCUCUCUGUUAGCUCGAGUUCUCCUAAGCAAAUACUGCAAGAAUCAAUCAUUUCUCCAGGAAAAAUCUCCUUCCUCAGCAUCACACGAAUGGAAAAGCGUUUUGAUUGGAAGAGACCUCCUCAGAAGCCAACUUGGAAACGUAAUCGGCAAUGGUAUGUCUACUUCCCUCUGUAAUGAUCCCUGGCUAUCCCUUGAAAAGCCACUCCAGCCUCUGGGACCUCCUACAGAAACAUCAAUGAAUCUCAAAGUCUCGAUUUUCUCGCUAAUAAUGGUAAAUCAUGGUGUAAAGAAAAGAUCAAUGAGUACUUACCAGAAUGAAAGGAUGAAAUUCUCGGACUCAAACCCAGUUGAACUGGAGCAGAGGCUGCUUAUGUAUGGCUCCCAACCAAAUCAGGAAUAUACUCCUCCAAGUCAGGGUAUCACACCUCAAUGAAGCUUUGUGAACCCAGUGAAGAGAGCUCCCCAACUGCUUUCAACUGGUAUUCUGAAAUCUGGUCAAGAAAAUUCUCUCUAAAGCUGAAGAUCUUCCUCUGGAAAUCAGCUCAAAUUCCCACGGGUGAAAAUCUCCUCAUCUGAGGCAUGCUAGAGAAAUCCUCAAGUAUCCAUUAUGGUGAACUUGAAUCAGUAUAACACUUGCUCUUUCACUUCCCUUUGGUCAAAAAGUCUGGAAUCUGGCACCUUUCAUGGAGCAAAUCGACUCUCUCAACUUCUCGGAUUUCAGUUCGGCUUUACAAACAUCCAAAAGACAUAUUUUUCUUCCACCGACGUGGCUGGGGUCAGGACCAUUAUUUCCCUUGGCUUUGCUGGGCAGUAUGGUCUACUUGGAACCACAAACUCUUUGAAAAUCAAAGCUUCGCAGAGGAGAAAACCAUCUCAAAGCCAUUAUUAAUGCUCAGUAGUGGCAAGCAGCCCAGAUCCUCCCUACAACCCCGAAGAAUGACACCUCCAUUGUCUAAUUCGAUCACCUGCAGUACCGAUGCAGCCUGGAAUGAAGAAACAAAAAUGGCGGGCCUCGGAUGGAUUUUCUCUGACCAAAUCGGCACUGAAGCCUGCAGAAGUUCCCUGACCGAGUAUGAUAUUGGAUCUCCCCUUAUUGUAGAAGCUCUGGUGAUCCGUGAUAACACUUGAUUUUGAUCACUUUUAUGGAUCACUUUCAGUAUCUUAUGCAGGUGUUUUCACUCAGUUUUAAAAGUUUUAUAAUUAUUUUCCAUGUUUUGGAGUUUUAAAAGGCUUUUCAGGAAACUUGGGACUUUGGAGUGCAUUUUGGAGCAAAAGUACAUUUUUAGAUAAAUUCAGACCGUCAGAAGUUUGUCAACCAAUGAAGACUUUCUCACCGUCUGAUCAUCCCCAAAGUUGGAGACAUUAUAGAGGAGACAACCAGAUUUCCAACACAAUUAGAAUCAAAGCAAUCCAACGGUUAGAACUCCAGAUAUCAUCAAUGCACUGAAGGCUGAUCAACACAAGUUCAGUCAAGCACAAGUGUUUUCACCCGCGGCCAGCCUUCUUCCCACCGCGGCUCAAGAGGUUUCACCCCUGGUGGACCUAUGUCCGAACCUCAGGAGCCCAACUAAGGCCCAAGACACUUCCUGCACCCAAUUUACAAGCCCUAGACACCCAAGACUUGGAGAAACACUAUAAAUACUCAUUUUUAGGUCUUUUGUAAGGGAGCUUCUUUCUUCUCCUCGAGAGAGAACUCAUUUGUAGUUUUUAAGUUUUAUUAGAUUUUGCGUCCACGCUACGCGUGGAUAUUUUGUUGAUAAAAAUUGUCUACAAUCAAUCAUAUUUAUUAAAAUAUAUUUAUAUAUUAGAAUUUUAAUAAUAUAUUAAAAAUAUUAUAAUGUUAAUAUAAUUUUUAUAUAAAUUUUGAGGUUUCAACAUUUUUUUUUAAUCUAUAUACAAUAUGUCUUUUUUCAAAAACGUACUAUUUGAUCAAAUACUUAUAAGUUAAUAUACUCAAACCGAUUAAAAAUUUUACAAAAUAAUCAAAUGCUACUAUUUAAACAUAGUAUUGACAUGACGAUAAAAUAUUAUGCAUUCACUUCUUCAAAUCAAGAAGAUAAUUGUUUUUCAUCAUUUUUACUUUCAUUCCAGUUAUAUAUGUACGUGAUCUUAAAAAAAUAAUACAAUUUUUUACUUUCAUUCCAGUUUUUCAUCAUUUUUAUAUAUGUUUUUCAUCAUUUAAAUUUAAUCUUUUUUAUUUAUUUAACCAAUACAAUUUUUUGAUAUAUUAAUUAAAAAAUAAAGUAAUAAAUAAAAAUUUUGCUUUGAGAUUAAUAACAACUUAAAAUUCAAAACCAAAAAUAGUUGAAUAUGAAAUGAUUAAAAUCACACAAAAUUUGUGAACUAAAUUUAUUUUUGUCAAUUGGUUAUGUUAACUUUUAAAUAAUUUUUCAUGAAUGCAUGUCCACAGAUUUGUAAACUGAUUCUUACCUCAUCCGUACUUCACAUUCAAUAUUUUGGAUACACUUCACACUUAAAAGUUUUAAAGUUAAUUUUUAAAAAUAAAUAAAUAUUAACAAAAAUAAAUAAAUAUUUAACAAACGGAUAACGGAUAACGGAUAUCCUGUUUCAAAAUGUUUUAUUAUCCGGAUCCGUAUCUGAAAUAACCGAAUACUUAAUUUCACUAUCCGGAUCCGGAUCCGAACUACACGAAUAUUCGGCUUUUACGGAUCGGAUAGGACCGGAUACCAGAUCGGAGACCGGAUACUGGAUAAGAAUUCCAGGCCAAAUUAUACCUCAUCUCUUUUAAUAAGAAUGAAAAAUAAUUUUCAUCAUGUUUAUUUUGAAAAAUAAUUUUCAUCAUGUUCAUUUUUUAUUCUUGUUAAAUCUGUAUUUUUUUCAAUAAAUAUAUCAUUUUUAUUUAUUUAAUAAUUUAUUUUAUGAUUAUAUUCAGUUUCAUCAUAUUCAUUGUCACUUCUUCUAAUUAUAAUCAAAUAGACAAAAUUGGUAUAAUUUAAUAAAUACAAAUUUAGAAAAAUGAAUAGCAAAGUGAAUAACUCAAAACUAAUAACUUCUUCGUUAAUCUAUUGUAAUUCCAAGUCGAAUAUAAAAAUAUAUUUUUUUCCAAUCAUUUUUACAUAAUAUAUUAUAUAAUAUUAUGUGGAAAUAUGUUUUGUAUAUGUGAAAAAAAUUUAGAUGUAUAUAAAUCAUAAAUAUUAAUUAUUUAAAAUUUUACUUGAAAAGCCUUUAAAUCAAGUAACUUAAACUUAUAUAAGAAGUAUAUUUUAUUAUAUAUAAAAAAUAAAUUUGUAACUAAAACAGUGAUAAUGGAGAUUUUAAUAUCAUGGUAGUUUAUUUUUGUUGUUAAUGGAGAUUUUUUUAAAAAAAUUUUUAACCAUUAUAUUAGGAUUUGGAAACUUUUUUAAUUUUUAAAUGUUGAUAUUGAUGCCUUAAAAAUAAUAUGGCUAAACUGUUAUUAAUAAUAUAAUAGUUUAAAUUACAAAUUUUCCUAUAUUGUUUUGUAUUACCAAUGUAAUUUUAUAAUUUAAAUACUUUUUAAAUUUUAAUUAUUGAUGUGGACUAAAAACACUGACCUUUUAAAUCUAAUGAAUGUCUUUGGAGGCAUAUAGCUUCAGCUUUUAUUUUUCUAUAAAUAUUUUUUUUGUAAACAAUACAGUUUUAAAAUUUUAUUUUUUUUUAAUUUUAAAUAUUGAUAUGAACCAAUAGAAUUGAAAUUUUAAAUCCUAUGUAGACACUCUUAGAGGCAUAUAGCUUCAAGUUUUAUUUGUAAUAUAUUUAGAUAUUAACGCUGGAAGAUCCCACAAGAGGCCAGUUGCGGCAAGUGAUUUUGUUUUCUCCUCCACAUUUUGAGGCUUACGGAAUGUAUUCUGAUACUGCUUGGUUUAGCUAAUUGUUAUCUUUGUGGUUCAGGUUGGAUUGCUAAACCCUUGUCAGAUGCCAUGUUAUUCCAAAGAUUUUCCUCGGAUACCUCAGUCUCUUUUGCCUUAAUGCGGAACCUCUUUCUCUAUUUUUAAUAGUUCGUUUUUCAAAAUUUUUGGGUAUCAAUCACUUGACAUGUUUCUCGGAUUACUUGAAAUUUAUCAUUCUUUUCAAAUCUGGUAGCAAAACUUUAGAGAUUUUACGGUCUCUUUUUCAAUAUUAAAGCAGCUUGUAGUGGCUUUGUUUUCAUCAUAUUCUUUUUAAUUUAGCUAAUAGUUAAACAUAGUUUAGUCAAGUUGGUUCUUAAUUUUACAUUGUAAUGAUUCAUUCUUUAGUGAAACAUAACUCUCUUUUUUUUUUGCUUUUUUUAAUUGAAAUGGUUGUACACACAUAAAGAAAACUUAAAAUUUAUUAUAGUUAUGUGACAAAAAUUUGGAUGCUAAUGUAGGAGUCUCUAAAUAUAUGUGUAUACAUAUAUAAAUAAAUUUUAAUAUUUUAUUUGUUCUUAGUUAUUUAUAUAAUUGAAACAUCUAAUUUAAUUUUAAAUUUUCUUAUGUUAAAAUUAUUUAUUUUAUUUUAUUAUUAUUAAUAUAAGUUGUAUAUAUAAUUUAUUCAUCUUUAAUAAUUUUUUAAACAAUAAUAGAAUUUAGAAACUUUUUUAUUUUUAAUGUUGAGUUGGACCAAUAAAAAAUUUAUACAAAAUUUCUUUAUUCAACAAUAAUAUUAGAAUUUAUAAAAAAAAUUUUAAUUUUCUUAUUUAACACUAAUAUUAAAAUUUAAAAAUUUUCUUAUUUUUGAAUGAUGAUGUGGACCAAUAAAAUUGUUAAUUUUCUUAUUUAACAAUAAUAUUAAAAUUUGGAAAUUUCCUUAAUUUUGAAUGGUGAUGUGGACCAAUAGAAUUGCCCUUUUAAAUCCUAUGUGGACGCCUUGAGAAGCUUAUAGCUUCAACUUUUAUUAGUAUAAGAUUUUAUGCAUUUGUAGAAGCUCUUCAUCUCCAUUCUGUCUUCAAUAAGAGAAGGUUUUCUGUAACUUUUGUUUCUUUACUUUUCUUCUUUUCUUCUUUCUAGUUCUAAACCGAUGACGAUGUCUAUCUCAGCCAUGUCUGAGUAGUCACCUAGUUGGGUGAAAGGGUAAUCCAAAGGGACCCCAUAUUCAAAUGACAUCUAGGUUUUUACGAAAAAGGAUUUCGAUUUUUAACAUGAUUCUCCCAUUCAUCCAAAUCUCAAAGCGGUAAUUCUGGAUUGAUCACCCAGAAUCCGAUCCUAGGUUAAAUCCGAGCCACGAGAGUGUUGUAUCUGGAUUGUCUGAACUGGAUCUUAUGGACGUCACUGUCGUAGGAGACGAAAGAUACCUACGGAGGAUACGUAAGCCAAGAUGGAUUCCGAUCUACAAAGCAUGAUCUUGUUCUGGCAUGAGAGCGAGAGUUAAUUGCCAUGAACAAGUGAUUAGAUGAUUAGGGUGACGAAAGUUGGCUAAUCUUACAUGUGUCUAUCCUAGUUUCAGAGUCAUAGAAAAUCAUUGCCUAAAUUCCUUGUGUUUUAUUACAUGAACCCUAAAGAUGAACCUUAAAUCCAGCGCCGUUUUUUAUAUAGUUUUCAACCGAUUUUUAUUUCCAGCUUUUAAUUCUCUGCAUAAUUAGAUUUAGUGACAAACCAAAACCCGUUUUUAUUAGAUUAGGUUUACGAUUGUUUUUAGCAUCAGUUAGAAGUCCUCAACACACAAAUCCAUGUGGAUUCGAUCCCUAAGUACUACUGUGUUUGUUUUGCACUUGCAACUUGUCUAGGGUAAAACUGGUGUUGCCCACUGCACCCACAUCAAUCCGAUCAGCUCUCCUCCAUGUGCGUGAUCUCGGUCCCUCAAAUCUCGUCAUUAAAUGGAGCCAUGCCUUGCAUAUAUCAAAAAAGGCAAUUGCCUUACACCACCAAAAUUUUUUCUAGUUUUAAGGACCACAUUUUCUUAUAACUUUAACCAAAUAUGUAAGAUACAUGAUUUUGUUUGUUAUAUAUAGUAGAAGAACAUUAUGUAGUUAUAUAUGAAUGUUUGAGACACAACUACAAUAAAAGUAUUAUGAUGUUUAAAAGUUCGUUUUGUUUUAAGAAACUAUAAUAGUAUUAACAUCAAAUAAACGAUAAAUAAAAAUACAUAUUUAAACAUAUAAAACAAUAAUAUAUUUUAUGAUUCGCUUUAGGCCUUCAUAAGGCUAGGCACGGCACUGAACUCAUAUCCGAUGCUCAGAUCCUUGUCCAAGCUCUGUUAACCGGUGAUCAGAUCAAGGAGCUCUACGGUCUCCUCUCCGACAUCAAUUGCUUGAUGUCUCUGUUUACCUCUAUAUUGUUUUUUUUCGUUCGUCGUUUAAACAAUAUGUCGGCCGAUGCUUUAGCUAAAUCGGCCCUCCGUGAGUUACUACCUACCUGCUUUAAUGUGUAACCGUAUUUAGUUUAAAUGAAAGUGUUGUUCAAAAAAAAAUAUAUAUUUAGAUAAAUCUUUUUAGUUUGAAUAUUUUGCUCUUCAUGAAAAAAAAAUAAAAAAAAAACACAUAUAAUUUUUACUUAUUAUUUUUACCGUUUAAAGUUUUAUUAUGAUAUAUCCAAACAUAAUACAAACAGAAUAAACUGAAUACUUAGAGGGGGUUAUUGGUUCUUGCAUUUUAAUGGAUUUGGAAAUUCUUCUCAGAUUUGGAAUUCCAUAAUGAAUCCAAGGAUUUAGAAAUCCUUCUCGAAUUAUACAAGUGAAUUUGAGUUGAUUUCAAAAUCAAAUAAGUUGAUUACUGUAAAUCAAUCAAAUGGAUUUACAAUAAUUUUAGUCUUAUAAUAAUAUAAAAAAAUCAAAAACAAAAACAAAAACAGACUUUUUCAUCCUUUUUCUUUCACUUGUCAUCUAUUAAUUUCUUAAACUAUAGUAUCUGUCCACAUCUUUGUUGCAAUCGUCGCUCUCAGUUGAUUGACAUAUUCUCUUGUGAUUGCACGUCGAAUUGGACGUUCAAUUUGCAGUUGAAGUUCUCGUUGUAGUCUUUUCCUCAAACAUAUCAUUCGACAGAAAAUUAAGAACACCAAUAAAAUUAUAUCGGCAUCUAAUUCUCUUUCUUCAAGAAGUAUUGGAUUCAUAUUUGAUAAAAUAUAACGUUGACAAAACAGAAAACACAUCCCAUUAAAAAGUAAAAACCAGCAAAAACAUAGUUAAAUUUGACAAACACAUCUGAAGAUAAUUCUAUAAUCACUAUGUGUUAAUAAAAAUGAACUUCCUUGAAGAGUAGUAAAGCCAAGUGUAAAGAGCAAGAGACAAGAAAUACCUACAAGUGCAUGAAUUCUUUAUUAUUUUUUUUUGGUGGUGUGUAGGUGUCUUUCUCUUCGUCUUCAGAGCAAUUCAAUUAACCAAAAUUAUUGUUUAUGUAAAUUGUACAUUUUUUUAUUAUGGUACGAAAGUAAAGUUGUUUUUGGAAAACGCAGAAGAUUGUCAUGGGAUAUGCAAGUUCAGACAUUGGCUCGAUUCUUGAGUUUCACAGCUUAGAGACUUAGAUUAGGCAUUCAUUGGUCAAUAAUGGCACAACACCAUAUCUUUCACCGAAUCUGUAAUAGUCUUUAACCAAAUGUUGUCAACAUUGUAUGGCUACAAAACAUUCUUUAAAUCACUUGUCAGUUAUCCCUUUUUUUAUUGUUUUUGUACACCUUCUUCUUUACUUUUUUUUCUCAAUAAUACAAAUCCAACCAAAUACGAGGUUCUACUAAAUAUUUUCUCCUUUGUAUUUUACUCUAAAACACUUGUAAAUCCAUUCAAAUCCAAAUUAAAAUCAAAUCCUUAUGCAAAUCCUUACCAUUGAAUAACACUUGAUUUUAAAAUCUAUUUUAAAAUCAGAGAACCAGUAACACAAGAUUUGAUUAAAUCAUAGAACCAAUAACACUGAAGUUAGUUUGAAUUUGCAAAUUCAUUAAAAUGCAAGAACCAAUAACACCCUCUUAGUUUGAAAUUUACAGAAGACAAAGCCGGUGCAAAAAUAUUAUAUCCCCAGAGACAGACCAUUAUUACUUAUCCAAUAAAUAUAUGAUUUUGAUUGGGGAAUAAAAGUUUGGGUUCCAUAUCUCAAAUAUGAUGAUUAUUUUGUUUCAUACUAAUAUUUGUAAUAAUCAUUUUAGGCUCCACGACUGGAGUAGAGCAUUUAACGCGGCAUGAGACGAACCGGUUUCGGUCAAGGCUGAUUCGGCUGCGUUCUUCAUCGCUUUGGUUUUUUCUCUAACCGGACCAUCCUGCAUUAUCUCCCGAACUCGUUUCUCCACCUCCGUAGAGCUCACAAAACCCGUCUCCAAUUCAUUCAUCGGAAUUGCAAUUUUGAUCUCAUCAACAAUCACUACUCUGUUAAACCUCUGCUCAGCGUACAAAGGCCAAGCCACCAUCGGUACGCCUAUUUUUUUGUAAACCAAUUGAAUUAAUUAUAACCGCUCACUCUACACAUAUAUCAUUGAAAUGUGUAUAUAAAUAUUCAAACCGAACCAAAUUCCAAAACUGAAUCCAAACAUAGUUAUAAAAUUAUCCGAAUGGAAAUAUGGAAUAAAAAUGUCUAUACCGAAUUAUCCAAUUUUAAACCAAACUUAACCUAAAUUGUAUGAAACCAAAUGAAAUUAACCAAAUUAACCGACUAACUGAAAUUCAAAAAAAAAAUAAUACUUUUAAUUAAAUAUAUAAAUAUCAUUGAAGAUUAAUUUAGCUAAUUAUAUUUUUGUUAUAAUAGUUUCUCCAAAACAGAACAUAACUCGAACCGGCACCAAACCAAAUUAUUAAAAACCGAACCACUGCUAUAAAAGUUAAUCUCAAAUAUGACUUAUUUUCUACAAUCAAAAAAAUCCAAAAACCAAACCCAAAUCGAACCGAAUCAAAUAACCGAAUGGCCUAAAUUUUUAACUCACCUGCACAAACCGAUUCGAGAAUAGAAUUCCAGCCACAAUGAGUGACGAAUCCACCGAUAGAUUUGUGAUUCAGAACCGGAACUUGCGGAGCCCAUGAUUUAACGACCAUUCCUCUAUUUCCGGUUCGGUUUAAGAAUCCUUCCGGUAAAAGAGUUUUCAAGUCCGGUUCAGCCAUGCUAUCUAUCUCCGGUGGAUUACGAACCACCCACAAGAAUCUCUCCUCACUUCUCUCUAAACCAAUAGCAAUCUCAUUCACCUGUUCCUUUGAAAACAAACCCAAGCUCCCAAAACAGAGGAACGCAACACUCUGUUCCGGCAGCGAAUCAAGCCAAUCCAAACAAGAACUUGCAUUGUCUCCAUGGUUAUCACCGGUUCUUCCUCGAACAAUGAGCGGUCCGAUCGGAUAAAUAUUGCGAAAACAGAGCUCCUCUGUUAUUGCCUUGAUAGCUCUGUUCUCUAAAGCAUCAAAAGUAUUGACGAUGAUCCCUGAAGACUUAGAGAGCUGUUUGCAGAACAUUAUAAAAGCAUCGUAGACCUCGUCGUCGCGCUCGAGCACGGCCUUAGGCAUAUCGGAGCCUUUCAUCGGAGGAACGCCGGGAAUAUGGAGUGUUUCAAUAUCUAUGAGGUUUUUUCCUUCGGUUGUCUCGUGGAGGAUCGGGAGAUAGAAGGAACCGGUUAGAUAUGCGGCUCCGGAGGCUAAAAAGUAGUAAACCGGGAAGGUGAAAUCGGCGGUCACGUCUAAAACGGCGGUGCAGAAAAAGUCGAUGAUCAUUGCGUGGAGAUUGAAGUUUUGAGAGAGCGAGAAAAGGGUUUUGUGGACGUUUGGGUUGCUGAAACAGAGGAUUUCUAAGAGGAGUGACUCGUGGUGGUGGCGUGAGGUGGAGGUGGAGGAGUAGGGUGUGACGGCGGGGAGGUGGUGGAAGGUGAUUGAAGGGAAGGAGGAGGAGACGGUGGAGAUGUAAGUGGCGGUUGAUUCCGGCUGAUAAGGCGGUGGAGCUAAGAGGAUGUGGAUGGAGAGAGAUGGGUUUUGGGAGAGUAUGAGUUUGCCUAACUCAACCAUGGACACUAAGUGACCUAUUGGUGGUGCUGGAUACAGAACUAUAGCUUCUUGUUUUCCCAUGGCCUUGUUUUUUGUGAGUUUUGUUGCAAGAAUGAAAAACAAGAACGUGAUUAAGUAGAAGGAUGAACAUGAUGAAAUGGUUUAUUCUCAUACAGCUCUCUGAUUGAGAUUUUUCAUCAACUCUUUUGGAAGAAAAGUAAUAAAAGAUGGACGAAGUUCCAAAAAAAAAGUCAUAAAAAUGGACCAAUUAGAAGAAUCAGUACAUUGGAUCAGUACAAUGGAUUCCAACUCUUUCGAAAUAUAAUUUGCGAUUUUGCCAUAAUGAUGCCGUUAUUGGCGGUUCAGAAUGGUGAUAGCUAAUGACCAAAAUGCAAUUUCUUUGUUGUAUGACAAUAUACAUACACUCGUUGAAAAUUGAUGAUUACAGUCUUAAUUUCUAUGGAAAGAAUCAGUAUAUUAGAUUUCUAACCGUAUAACAUAUUUACACCUUACUCGGGAAUUGUACCAAUAUUGUACAACAAAGAAAACAUGUGUUUAUGUUGCAACGUAUUAUUUGGUGUUUCAUCUAACAUGACGAUCAAGAAAAGAAACUAACAAUAUUGAUAUUUUGUUAGUAAGUAACACCUCUCAGAAUAAAGUAUCUUCAAAAUUUACCUUUUUGGUUUUUUGUUAUCUCAUAACUUUUGUAAUCUGUACUCGAUAAGACUUUGUUCGGCCGGAUUUCGUUUUUUCUUUAUUGUACCAACCUUCGUUCAAGAGUGUUUCUUUGAAGAUUUUCUUGCAAGUAGUCUACUUUCAGGGAUUGUGUUUGCGUGUUUGUAUUUUUCGUGUGUAUUACUUGAUUGUUUACAUUUUUUAAAGGUUUUUUUCCCUUUUUUUGUUGAUCAUAAUUUGUUAGCGAAUAAAAUUUAUCUACGGAAAAUAUCGUUAAAUUAAUAUUUUCUUUUGUAUUUUUUUAUUAUAUAACUGUUUAUGUAAUAAUUUGUAUUCCAAAAGUUAUGUAUAACUUUGUCAUCAUAAUUUGAAAUUAAUAAAAUUGUUUGCUGUAAAAAAAAAUCUCUUUAUUCAUGUAAUCAUGUAACUCAUCAUUUAAUUGAUUCAAGCAAAUCCUUUAUAAAAAAAAAUAGCUUUGUAAUUGGUUGUAUUUUAAUUAUUUUAAGCACUUUUUAAUUUUUAUAUAACUUUCGAUAAGAUAGAUUAGGCCUGGGCAUUCGGAUAUUCAGUUCGGUUUCGGUUCGGAACCAAUCGGUUCCGGAUAUUUCGGGUAGAGGAAGUUAGGAUCCAUCAGAUAUUUUUAUAAAUUUCGGUUCGGGUUCGGUACCUUUAUUUCGGUUCGGUUCCGGUUCGGAUAAUCGGAUCCGGAUCUUUUGCCUCAAAUUUUUAAUUCGACUCACACUUUUUUAAUAAAAAAAAUUCAAAAAUAUAUAUAUCAAAACUUAAAAAUAUACCCAAAAGUCCCAAAAAUAAAGAAAAUAUGUCUGUAAAACCAGAAAUAUAUACCAAAUAUCAAAAAUAUCAAAAAAAAAACUAAUAUUUAGAAGGAUAUAUAAUUAUACUUUGGAUAAUUCGGGUACCCAAUCGGUUCUCGGUUCGGUACUAGUUCGGUUCCGGUUCUUCGGGUAUAAGAGUUUAAGAUCCAUCGGAUAUUUUUAAAAAUUUCGGUUCGAAUUCGGUACCUCUAUUUCGGAUCCGAUUCGGAUAUUCGGAUCCGGGUUUUUUGCCCAGGCCUAAGAUAGAUGUUUAAAACAAAAAAUCAAUCUAGUCAUGGAUUGGGCCAAUGGGUCUACUCUAACCCACCAAAAUAAAAUACCUACGGCCCAAUUUGGGUAUCAAAAUUAGCAAUGAUCGUCAUAAGAUCCAGACCGUCCAAAAUAGGGAUCUCAAAAACCCCACUAAACCUCAAUAGAUUUUGUGUUUGCCUCUUGAAGUAACGAAAUUCUUAAAACCAUAAACUUUUUCACCUUUCUUCGUCGUUAUUAACUGGUACGCUUCUGCGAAUUCCACGGAUUGGGUCUACUUUUUGGAAGCUAAUACAUGUUUUUUCUUAAUCUAAUUGCUCAGUCGAGUGAUAUGGAGAAAGAUUUUGGGUUUAAUUGUUUGUGUGAUGAGUUUAUCUUUGGAUACAAUUUGGGUGAAGCUGCUUAAUUUUGUGAUUAAGAACUUCCUUUAGAGCCAUUAAAUUUCUGAAUAAAUGUCUCUAAUUUAGACUUUUUUUAUGUGGUAAAAGAAUUAAACUUUGUUCUAAAAUCAGAAAAUUUCAGAGGAUCGAGUUGGUUAUUAUUCAAUAUUUUGGUAUAUAACUUAGAUUUUGAUGCUAAUGAAACUUAUGCUUAAACUCAGUAUUUGUUUAUUCUAUGGAAGCUUUAAACUUUUCUUGUUAACAGUUUAGGAAUUUGUUGGAAAUUCGAUUUAUGUGUACAUUAACAUUUUUUCAGUGUCUCAAUCGAAAUCGAAGAAACCAAUUCAAGAACCUUAACGUUGUGCAAAAGAUUCAUCGAAAAUGUCAGAUAUAGUAACACCAGGAGAUGUACUCGGGAAUGCGACUGAGUUCAAAGCCGGGAAAGGAGCUUAUGUCAACGACAAUACCAUCUACGCUUCCCUUACAGGAUCACGCCGGAUUGUUUCUCCUCUUCCGGAUUCACCUGACCAGGUCUCUGCAUUUUUUCAAGUGAUUUCACUGAUUGGUUGUGUAGAAAUCGUCGAUGUAAAUGGUCAUUUAUUGAUCCUUGUGUGUUUGUGAUUAUAUAUAUGCAGAGAGCUAUUGUGGAAGUUACAGGUCACAAGGCACAUGGACUUAUCCCGGAGACUGGUUCUGUUGUCACAGGAAGGGUAAAGUCUGCAUUUUUUAUAUCAUUUGGAUUUGAUGUCAAUUACUUUCAAAAAGUUUGAUCCUUUAUUCUCUGUUAUCUUCUUGAUAGGUUACUAAAGUUACAGCUCGGAUGGCUUCUGUUGAUAUCUUGUGUGUUGGUCCAAAGGCUGUUCAUGAAAAAUUCGCUGGCAUAAUCAAGUGAUUUCUCCUGCUCCUUAUUUUCGAAGUUUUAGUGUUUGUAAUGUGUAAAUCUAACUUGUGUUUGCUUCUUUACAUAGGCAACACGAUGUUAGAGCAACGGAGGUCGACAAAGUUGAUAUGCUUCUGUCUUUCCGUCCUGGUGACAUUGUUAGAGCUAUGGUUGUAUCCUUAAUUGCGUAUAGAUGAAAUUUGGAACGAUAUUUAUAAGAUUUGUUACAUUAUGACGUCCAUUUUCUCUUUUUUUUUUCACUUGUACAUCGUAUAUAGUUUAAUUUGGAUGUAGAUUAGUUGUAGUCUAAUGAUAGCAUCUGAAGUUGCCUUAACUUGUACACUCUUAAAGCUGUCUCUUGGUGAUGCAAGGGCUUACUACCUGUCUACUGCUAAGAAUGAGCUUGGUGUGGUCUCAGCAGAAAGUGCAGCAGGUAAAUUUAUAGUAUAGAGUCUGUAACCUAUCUGUAACAUUCAGCUUCCAACUUGUACUUCCCGUUUUGGAAUUACAGGAAUCGAAUAUGUUGUAAAUGCAUGUACUUCUUUUGGUAGUCUUUCGAGAUAAUGUCUAUAUCCUUUCUGAGUAAUGAAAAGUUACUGUUGUUUGGUGAUUGUGCAGGUGAAACAAUGGUUCCGAUUAGUUGGACAGAGAUGCAGUGCCCAUUGUCGGGCCAAACCGAGCAGAGAAAAGUUGCCAAGGUCGGUUAGUUGAAUUCAAAGGCGAUAUUUGGCUUCUCUUAUAGAAUGAUGUGUGGUCUCUGCAACCUGUGAGGUUAUUACAAUGUUGAGCUCUUGUGACUUUCUUUUAGCGUACACUUAUGUGGAAACGGUAGGUUUAGCCUGGAACAACUUGAAUUACACUGAUUGUUGCAAUUACUUGAAGAUGCAAUAUACAGUUCCUUUAUAACAUUGUCACUGUCGAUGAAAGGGUUGAGAGAUAAUGGAGUUUAUGUGAAGCCGUUGAUUUUUAUAUUGCAUUGAUAAAUGGUGACAACGAUUGGCAUAAUCAGGGACGUUGAAUUUUAAAUGUUUGUUUCCCAAGAAACAAAAUGUUAGUUUUAGUUUCAUGGAUCAAUUGAUUGUCGUUUUGGGACUAAUCAUGAGUAAAUUUAAAAGCAUUAUCUAUCAUAAAUUGAGACUACAUCAAAAGCAUAAAGGUAACAUGAACAUUUUUGUUUACAAGAAGAACAGUGAUAGAAGGGUUCAUUAUCAUUCUCUCCUCCGCAAAAGACGACAUUUUCCAUCAGAAUACUCCGGUGCUUCACCUUUAAGGAGUGGUAGAGUGAUUUCUCUCUGGCGGGAGGUUUCUCUGACGGAUGUGAUUCUGUGCCAGUCUCUCAGCUUAUCUUUACCAUUUGAAGCAUUAGGGCGUGUAAAUUCUGAUUUAAAAAGCUUGGAUUCCAAGUAACGUAGUGUUUACAUAUCUUGUUGUCAACUCAAGUUUUUCUCAAUCUCAGUUCUUUAAGUUUGGCAAACGUGUACGAAGGUUCGUAUUCGACUUUGUUUCACCGGAAAGCAUCAUAAUGUGUUUGUGCUUGACAAAGAAGUUCAAAAUCACCAGAAUAUGUGUAAUAUGAAGCAAUCACCAAACGUAUUACUACACAUUCAAAAUCAAAAUUUCAAACAGAGUAUAAUAUCCAGAAAAUUUUCAGACAUUAUAGUACCUAUAACAGAAACUGUUCGAGCUUACAACAAAAACAAAAACUUGGACAAAACUAAAGGGCAAGUGAGACAAAACAGCAGAACCAUGCCAAAACCUUUUGUGAUCAAACCUCGAGUGUCGAAUUGAACGCAAAUCACUCAGCCAUGUCCUCUUCAUCGUCGUCUUCUUCUUCCUCAGCACUGAGGUCAAGCUCAGCAAGCAACUCUUCGAUAGGCACAGAAGGUGCGCCUUCUCCAUCAGUCAUCGAAGCAGUCUCGGACUCUUGAUAAUCCUUGUUCCUGUACAAGGAAAUGUUGAACCUUAACUCAGGGUUCUCUUCAAGAUCCCUCAAAAACUCUUCAUACUCCUUCUCAUUCUUCUCUGGAUCAACCCUGCCUCUUGAAUCAUCCACUUCCAUCGGAAGCUUCUUAACCUUCCACGAACGUGUUUUCUUCUGCUUCCUCUCUCUAUGCUCGUCGUAGCAUUUCUUGAUCAGAAUCGCUUCAGGAAGACCAUUCUUCACACUCAGACGGUAUUUCUCCAUUUCAUUGUCGUUCACAUUUGCUCCGUAAAUGUCAUAGCCUAGAGCUUGAUCACCUGGCUUAAGAAUGUGUCCUAGAUGAGUUUGGACAUAAAACAUCUUACCAAUGUCUGAUUCACGUGCGAUUUGGACAUAAGAUAGAGCAUACUUUUGUCCGCCGACAGUAGCUUCACCAACAGGUGGUUCCACAUCAAACACAAAGUACUUCACGAGCUGUCUACUUGUUAACGCGGAUCGAAACCCUGAUCUCCAGUACUGCCUCGCGUCCAAGAACGCACACCUUAAGGUUCUAGGAUCAAGCAGAGUGAUGUUAUCAGAUACUUUCGUGCACACCACAAGCGGACCAAGGUUUCCUAAACCGCUAGCAACUUUCUGAGGCAAGCAAACAAGAUCCUCACGGCAAAUGGGACAGAUUUUAACAGAGUAAGUGUACUUGUAGUUGUACAAGCUGCUCUUGACAUCAUGAGACACAAGCUGCUGGUCCUGACGAUACUCAAUCGGGACAACUUUCCGUAGAAACUCCACAAAGCUAUUAGCAUGACUCUUAUUCCCAAAGAAGAAAUCAAUCCCUUGAUCAACCUGCUGAAUCCUGAUGGCUCGUGAAGCUGCAUCAUGCCUAAGAAUCAACUGUUCAAGGUAAAAGAAAGUCCUCCUGUGAGAUACAUGCUGCCUAAGCUGCACAGACGCAACCCACUGAUCAGGGUUAGCCUGAAACCUCGAGCAAGACUCACAAAGAUUGUCUCUCACAGUGUACUCAACAGGGUAAGACUGCUCAAGCACAGCUCCGUUAAGAACCUCGGCUUGAACAGUCAGCUUCACUUUGAUCCUCUUGGAGUGAGGCUCGGUCCAGACGAACUCAGCGUUCUUCAGCUUCACUUUGUUGAGAUUCUUGAGCCUCUUGAUGCAGAAAGUCAAGAGCUCUUUCGAUUCCCAUUGAGCUUUGAUCCAUGUUUUUGGUGGCUGCAAGUAGCAACCGCACUCAGGGCAGUAGAAGAUUUGGAUGCUUUUCUGCAAACCUUCGGUGAUGUCGACUUCUGAACGGAGACAGUUUACACACAUGUUUGCUGCGUUUGGUGGCAUGGGAACACCACACUUGCAACACAGAACGCUUCCUAUGGUUUGUUGAACCUUGAACAUCCCUGAUUGUUGAUCCAUUACUGACAUCUGUAACAUUCAUACACAGAUACUGAAAUCAAAUUAAAAUGAAGAAGAAGCAAUUACAAGAUCGAUAACACAAACACACCGAGAAAAACCUAGCAAUAGCCACAGAAAGCAACAACAAGAUCGAUGACAAAACACCAUUUCCAGAAAUCGAGAGCUCACGAAAUUAGGGAUUCUGUAUCGCAGUGACCGAUUCGACGGAAAAAAUAUAGAUUCCGACUAGUGCCGAUUAGAUUUUGAUUUGUCUAGGUUAAAAUAUUCUGCAAGAGAACGGGAACGCCUAUGGAAGAUUGAUACGAGCCUUAAAGGAUCGAGAAAUGUAAAGGACGAUGAAAAUCGAAGAAGCUUUCCCUUACCUGAGCGAGUUUGAGAAAGGGAGAAGGCGGCGCGAUGCAGAGGGAAGGAGAAGAGCCAAAAAGAGCGGCGAAGAUUUUUUUUUCUUUCUUAAAACUUUGGUAUGAGGCUUUCUUUUUUUUAGGGUUGGGCUGAAAGAAAACGAAGUGUAAAUUAUGUAUUUUUGUUAAAAUAAAAAAAGAUUUCAGCAACACACAUUUGAUUUGAAUAUUGCUUCUAAGACAUCGACCGACAUCAAGAGGGCUCAAUCUAGAAUGGUUUGUAUUACACGAAACAAAUAAUAUGUUAUUGUUAUGAAUUAUUAAUUAGAUGCCCUAAAGCCUAUAACUAUUAUUGUAUUUGUCCAACAUCGGAAAUUUGUAGUGGUGACUAGAUCUUUGUAAUAUUAUAUAUACCUCUCAUUCUUCCUGGAAUAAGAUACACCAAUUUCCUCUUUCUCUCGAUAACUGAUUUACAACACGUUAUCAGCGUGAUCGUCUCUUGAUCUGUUCUCACACCGAAAAGGUGAGAGAUAGUUUAAAAUUUUACUCCGGGAUAAUAAGUUAUUAUUUCCCCAAAGAAGGAAGACUAUACCUCCUUCUCUAUGUUUAGGGUUUAUGAUUUUUGUCAUACAAAUUGUCUUAUCCUAAAUUUACACGAUUUUAUAAUCUGCUCUAUUUAUGAUCCGUUUUUGCACGGCAAAAUUAUAAGAACAUUUGUAUAUGCCCUAUCUUUGCACGGCGGCGAGAUUAUAAGAGCAUAAUAUAUGCCCUAUCUAAAAACGAAUUUUGCACAAAAAAAUUAUAUUAUGCUUUAUUACAAAAUUUGCACAUUCAUAUCAUAUGAAAUUGUUUGAUGACUUGAUUAAUUAAUUGUUCGAUCUUUAUACCUCAUUGUUCAAAGAGUUUUAUUAAAAUUCAUUAAACUGUGAUUUUGAUUUUUAAAAGCAAAUAUGAUUUUUAAGUUAAUUAAGGUUUUGAUUUAAACUUGAUUUAUCUAACCUAAUUACUUUACAAAACCGUGGAGAAUUGUUUUGAUUCCCACAUGAUUUUAAUUGUAUAGUUUAAUUCACCGAAAAAAUCAAUUCACAUGCUUAGAUAUUACUCAAUCUCAUACAUGAAUUGAAAUGUAUUAAUUGAAAGUGAAGAUACAAUCGUUGGUUUGGUAUUGAUAUUACUUGGUUAGUUUGGAAAUUACGUCUUAGAUUGAGAAUUUUAUUUUCUUUAUUUGGUUUGGUUUGGUACACCAUGGUUAUUUUAUAACCUUGUGCACAUGUUAUUAUUAUAAGUUAACGUGUAUGUGUGGCAUGAUUAAUAAUUGGUUUUGAUUCAAGCAAUCCGUGAAUAUGUGCAUAGAUAAUUACAAUAAGAAUAGAAUAUGUAUAUGCCAAGAAUGAUGUUAAACUUGAGUUAAAAAUAUUAUAUCAAAUAAAUUCUGAAUUUUCUGUGGUAUCUCUUAUUUAUGUUAAAAGAAAAUACUAUUUUGUUAUUUUGAUUGAAUGAUCAUUAUCUUUUGUUCACAUAAUUUGAUAUAUUCUUAUGAUUAAAUUAUAUUUGUGUGUUAUUGCCUCUUGAAUGAUGUAAGAUCAAGUACUUGACCGAAAAAGAUCUACAAGAAAUUUAGAGCAAUUAAAAGAAAAUGUAUAAUCACUAGAAUGUGAUAUUACACUCAUUAUGAUUGGUUGAAUCUAAAAUUACAUGACUUGAAGUCUGUAAGUGAGUUUGACUCAGCUAUGUUCAGAUAUUAUGUGAAGAUAAUAUUGUUGAUGCAGAGAUGUUAAAAGACAUACUCUACCAUUUUGAGAAUGAUAUGUUGUCCUGGAGACACAAUACUCUACACUUUGAGAAGUGUUAUAAACUUGUAUAUGUGUCUAAAAGAGGCUGAGCAACAUAAUGAGUUAGAAAGAAAAAAAAAAUCAGGAUACGUUUCUGAUUUUAGAUAGUCCAUUUCCUGAAGUAAAUGUGACAUCCUAUAUUGAGAAAGAAAAGACCACAUGGUUGAUAAAGGCCAAAUAAAUGGCUAUGGAAGUGGUUGCAGACAUUAAUGUGGAUAUGGAUGUGGAUAUAGUCAAGGUCAAGCUUGAGGCCAAAGAGAUUCUUUUAAGAACUCAGAUACUCACUAGAAGUGAAAAAAUAUAGAUGGUAACAUACAAGAGAUCUAUCAUAUGAUGAUAAAAUAAACUAGUGUGAGUACAAGAUGAGAUUGUAUAAAAUAUUGAAAGCUCCAGAAGAGCAGGUAUAAUUGCAUAUGGAAAUGAUUUGGAAUCAUUAAUGGAUUGUACUCCCCCAAGUCUCGAAAGAUUAAGAGAAUCUAAGAUAUACUACAAAACCCAAGUUGGGUAUGUUGUUGAUCCUAGAGUGGAUUCAAUUCGAGAUGGAUAGACCUGAAGUGUCAUCAUCUCGAGGGGGAGAAUUAAAGAAUUCCACAAUUCAUAGUAAGUGGAACAUCCAGAAAUCAUGUUCACACUCAUGUUCGAUAAAUCAGGUGUAAAGAAAAUCCAAAAGAUUUUAAGAUUUAUCAGGUUGAGACAAUGAGUGAAGGAAAUAUUUAAUAUCUUCACAUCAUGAGUAUUAUCCAAGGCAGUAAAAGUAAUUUAGAGAAACUACUUGUAUUCUCUAUUGAAUUGUACUACACUAGUAUAUGAGAUAUAAAUGGGUCUAGUAAACAAGAAGUUUACUGAAAAUCUCACUGUUUUGGCGUAACUGGUUAAGCCAUUCCAAUUAAAUAACAAUGCGAAAAAGAUCCAGAGAUUCUUAUGUGUUUGGAUAUUUUCUGGUACAUACACAAAGAGAUAUUUUGGACUGAUCACCCACUAUGUAUCUUUGUGAAAGUAUUUGGUUAAUUGAUUAAGAGUGAAACCACAUUGAUUCACAUUAUGCCAACGAAUAUUUUGAGUUCUCCCCAUUGUUGGUUUUGGUCAGAAACCAGAUGUUUCCCAUCUAAAAAUUUUGGAUAAUGUUGCUCCACCACAUUGAUCUAAGAUGGGACCUCAAAGAGGAAUAUAUGUUGGAUAUGAAUCUCCCUUGAUGAGUAAAUGUAUUAAGCCAUCAAAUAAGGGUAAUAUUAGCAUUACAGACUGUAAUUUCAGUGAGCCAGUCUUUCCAACAAUUAAGAAAGGGGGGAGAAAAUAGCAGCUGGAAUAUCAGUGAAAGAAAUUAUCUUGAUCCUCAGAAAGAAUGUGCACUAAAAGUUUGAAAUAUAAUUUAUUUGUAAAAUUAAGCAAAUUUGAAGCUAGAGGCAUUAUCUGACCCUGAUUAAGUUAUACCAGCUGUGCUCCAAUUAAUAUUGAUGUCCUGGGGGGACAAUAUCAACUGCGAUAGAGGCUAAAGAUCGCAUGAAGCGUGAUAGACCUACUGAUUCCAAAGAUAAGAAUCCUCGAAAAGAAAAAGGAGCAUAUUAUAAAAUGGCAAGGUCGAGGAAGGAUUCUCUAGAAGAGAUAUAGACAUGAGAGAGAGAGAAAUCUAGGUACCUAGUAAUGAUAAGAGAUUUCAACUAAUUGAGACAUGUCUGGAAUGAAUGGAAUCAAAAGCAAAUCGACGUCGAUAAUAUUUUUGCAUGCAAUGAAGCAGUUGAUGAUGAAAAAUGAGGAUCAGUGAUAUGAUCGUGACCAGCUCAGAGGAGGAGGAACCAGAGGUAGCUGGCAGGAUCACUCGUUCCAGAGCUAGAGAGAUGGCUAAGGAGGCUCACGCACUCAUUGCCACAGAGGACAGCGAUCACCAGGAGGCUGGAGCUCACAUCUUCAACAUCUCUAUCUUGAAGAAUGAAGAACCCAGUAACAAUGACUAGGUAACUUAGGUGAUGAUUCUGUACUCUUUUCCUUGGUGAGGAUUUUGGAAGGCAAGGAGGUUCUUCUCCAAGGUUUUUAACGAGGCAGAAAUCAUUGCUACGUCGAGUUACUUAGAAGUUGUUACUAAUGGGUAAUAAUGUGCAAAGUCACAAUGACUUGUGCACUUAGUAUUUUGGCGCACCACUUAGGAUUUUAGGGACGCCUCGCUGUUUUUAUUUUAAAUCAAACUUCCUGUUGUUUUUAUUUAAACUUCAUGUAGUUUUGUUUCUUUAGGGCUGCGAUUUCUCUAAGUCUAUAUAAUAGAGAAAUCGCCUAAGUCAUUAGGAGCUUGGAAUUUUUAACGUAAAAGAGAGAGCAAAGUUUGCUUUGAUUCCUUGACUCAAAAAGUUCAUUGAAUUCGAUUUUCUUACAAGUGAUUCUUACAAGAAAAUCUGCUACCUAUCAUCUACUCGAUUUCAUCAUCUUCUCUUCUCAUCCUUCACCAUAUCCAUCGAAUUCAUCCCUCCACCAUCACUCGCCAUCGAUCCGCCAAGCCACCAUCAUCAAACCAUCUUCGACUCGAUCCUCAAGCCAUCAUCACCAUCGCAUCGGCCAUCACCACCCCAUCACUUCAUCGUUGUGAUCUGUCCAUAAAAUCGCAGCAUCUACAGCCUUUUCCUCAGAGUAGAUCACCUUGGAUCGUAUCACGUGGUAUCAGAGCCAACUCUGAACCAAAGGCUGAGCAAUCUCUAACCCUAAUCGCGAUUUUUGAUUUGAAUUCGUGUUUUGAUUGUUAGGGCUUAGCGAGUUUGAUUUGUGUGCAUCGAUCUGUUCCCUUUUGAAUAUUGUAUCGUUAUUGCUUCGUAUCGUGAGUUCGUUUGCUAUUGUUAGGGUUAGUCGGUUUGCUAUCGUGUUUGUCUCAAGUUGUUCAGGUCGAGUCUAGGGUUUCGUCUUUUUUUGAUUUCGAUAGGCUUGAUAAUUUGUUAUUUCGUUUUCGUUUAGAUUUGCUAAGAGACUUCAUAUUUUCGUUUUUUUUUAGGGUAGAAAAAAAAAAAAAAAAAAAGAGUACACAAAAAAAAAGAGUACACAAAAAAAAAAAAAAAAUUUUCGUUAAAUUUCAUUAGUUUCUUUGAGUUUGUUUUUAGAUUUCGUGGAGAUCGGUUAAUUUUUUUAUGAUGAGUUUAGUUUUGCUGUUUUGUGAUUUCUUCUAGAACAAGUUACUGCGAGUUUUUUUUUUUUUUUUAUAAAUUUUUUCAGGUACCAUGGAGCUUUCGGCUGAGACAAUAGAAGCUCUGAACCGAGCAAUGUCUCAACAAAUCAAAGAAGCGAAUCAAGCCAUAACAACUCAGCUCACCCAACAAAUCGAACAACUCAACGACAAGUUCGAGACCAAGAUGAGUGAUCUGCUCAAAGAUCUCAGUGCAAGUGGAGAAGAGUCGUCUCAAACCCCAACUCCUUCGGAAGCAAUGCGACUAGCAAAGGGUAAAGGGCACAUAGGAUCUUCCCGGAAACUUCCACGCCACCCAACACCUUCCGAAGCCAGGACUAAAGCUAAGUCCAACCGAAGCCAAAUUGGGGGCAAAGAGACUGCUUUUAAUCCGAGGAGGAAUCCUACUGGUGCAGAACAAGAUGGCCCAAGGGUAGAUCGUCAGCACCGCCGAGAGGAAUAUAUUGCUGGGCAUCGAGUUACCCUGGAAUCAGACCUAGAAUACUAUGAGGAGGACGAAGCUUCUGAUCAUAGCAGAGAAACUGUGAGACGAGAUCGAGGCCGAGGACAUGGUCGAGAUUAUGAUCCUCUACGACAGCAGCUGCGUCAUAUCAAAAUCCAGUAUCCUCCUUUCCAUGGAACUAAUGAUCCCGAAGCUUAUUUAGAUUGGGAAAGGAAGAUGGAGUCUAAUUUUCUGGUCCAAGGAACUUACGAGCUCAACAAGGUGAAGAUUGCAGUUUCGGAAUUUCAUGGGUAUGCGCUUCUAUGGUGGGAGCAGUUGGGAGUCACCAGAAAUCGCUUGAGGGAACUUCCGAUUACUACUUGGGAGCAGCUCGUUAUACAGAUGAGGAAGCGGUUUGUUCCGGCCCAUCAUCAGCGCGAGAUACUCAACAAGCUUAGGCGCCUUGUCCAAGGUACGAAGUCUGUUCGAGAUUAUUAUCAAGAAUUGGAAACUUUGCUCAUUCGUGCAGAUUUACGAGAAGGCGAAGAGAUGGUAAUGUCGAGAUUUCUUGGAGGACUUAACCGAGAAAUUCAAGACAAGGUGGAACUUCAGGAUUUCGCAGAUAUACAAGAGAUGGUGCAUAAGGCUGAAUUGGUGGAAUCUCAAGUCAAGAGGCGAAAUUUCAAGUCCACAUUCACGCCUAGUGUGCCUAAGCCUAAGGAGAUCAGCAAGCCAGCUUACUCCAGAGACAUCAAACCGCCAUCUACUGGAGUUAAAGAAGAAGCUAAAGCUGAGUUCAAGCCUCGAGGUGGCACUUCUAUCAGCAAUGUGAGGUGUUUCAAAUGUCAAGGAAUGGGACAUUACUCUCGAGAUUGCCCAAACAAGAAGGUUUUCUUGUUACAUGAGGGAGGAGAGAUAGUUCCUCAAGAGGAUUCAGAGGCCGAAUAUGAAUUAGAGGAAGAGGAAGAAGCUGCUGCUGUGGGCGAGAUGCUGGUUGCCAGAAGGACUUUGAGUGUUCAGAGUCAACCUGAAGAGACUUGUCAGCGAGAGAACCUGUUCCAUACGAGAUGCUUCAUUCAAGGAAAAGUUUGUAGCCUGAUCAUAGAUGGAGGAAGUUGUACUAAUGCUGCAAGCGAAGAGAUGGUUAAGAAGCUCCAGCUCAAGACUAUUCCUCAUCCAAGGCCGUAUAAGCUUCAGUGGUUGAAUGACAGUGGAGCCUUGACCGUAUCUCAGCAAGUGAUGGUUUCUCUAUCCAUUGGGAAGUAUGAAGAUGAGAUUCUAUGUGACGUCAUUCCCAUGGGUUUGAGUCAUGUGUUGCUAGGCAGACCGUGGCAAUCAGAUCGUAGGGUGAUACACGACGGUUACACCAACAAGCACUCAUUCGAGUUCAAAGGUCGCAAAAUUACCCUCCUACCUCUCACGCCUACCGAGAUUUAUCAAGAUCAAGUUCAAAUGAAGCUCAAGGAGAAGGAGAAAGUCGCCAACAGCCUCUACAUAAACCACAAUGAAUUUUCUAAACUCUUUGAUCCUGAAAUGACUACUUUUAUGUUUGUGUACAAGGAAUCCCUUGUUAGUACUAACCCUUCACAGGAGCUUCCUAGUGCUAUGUUUGAGAUUUUGCAGGAAUACAAGGACGUUUUUCCAGUAGAAAUUCCACCAGGGCUACCUCCAAUUCGCGGGAUAGAGCAUCAGAUUGACUUGGUACCAGGAUCAGCCUUACCUAACAGGCCAGCAUACCGAACCAACCCUGUAGAGACUAAGGAGCUGCAAAAGCAAGUGGAGGAGCUGAUGAGCAAAGGCCAUAUCCGAGAAAGCUUGAGUCCAUGUGCGGUUCCAGUUCUGUUGGUGCCAAAGAAGGAUGGUUCCUGGAGGAUGUGUGUAGACUGUCGAGCUAUCAACAACAUCACUGUGAAGUAUCGGCAUCCGAUCCCAAGGCUAGAUGAUAUGCUGGAUGAGCUCUGUGGGUCGACAAUCUUCUCUAAGAUCGACUUGAAGAGUGGAUAUCAUCAGAUCAGAAUGAAGGAAGGGGAUGAGUGGAAAACGGCAUUCAAGACAAAGCAGGGACUCUACGAGUGGCUAGUUAUGCCGUUUGGCCUCACCAAUGCUCCCAGCACCUUCAUGAGACUAAUGAACCAUGCCCUGAGACCAUUCAUUGGCGUGUUCGUAGUGGUUUAUUUCGACGAUAUCCUCAUCUACAGUAAAGGUUUGGAAGAACAUCUAGAUCACAUCAGAUCGGUUCUUGAUGUUCUUCGCUCUCAAUCUCUCUUUGCUAAUUUAUCUAAAUGUUCAUUCUGCACUAACGAGAUUGUUUUCUUAGGCUUUGUAGUAAGUGCAGGAGGAGUUAAAGUAGAUGAAGAGAAGAUAAAAGCUAUCAAGGAGUGGCCAACCCCCAAGAAUAUUGGAGAAGUCCGAAGUUUCCAUGGCUUAGCAGGAUUCUACAGGCGUUUUGUUCGUGAUUUCAGCACCAUAGCCGCGCCUUUAACCGAAAUAAUCAAGAAAGACGUGGGGUUCAAGUGGGGAGAGGCGCAAGAACAGGCUUUUACAGCCCUUAAAGAGAAGCUUAUCAAUUCGCCCUUACUAGUACUUCCUGAUUUUACUAAGACUUUUGAGAUUGACUGCGAUGCUUCUGGUGUAGGUAUUGGAGCAGUUCUUAUGCAGGAUAAGAAGCCAGUCGCUUACUUCAGCGAAAAGUUAGGAGGAUCAACGCUGAAUUAUCCAACGUAUGACAAGGAGUUAUACGCAUUGGUUCGAGCUCUCCAGACGUGGCAGCAUUACUUAUGGCCUAAGGAAUUCGUCAUUCAUACCGAUCACGAGUCUCUAAAGCACCUCAAGGGUCAGCAGAAACUUAACAAAAGACAUGGGCGAUGGAUGGAGUUCAUUGAGACAUUCCCCUACAUUGUUAAGUACAAAAAAGGUAAAGAUAAUGUGGUCGCAGACGCAUUAUCCCGGAGGUACACUCUUAUUUCGACUUUAACAUCAAAGUUGAUUGGAUUUGAGCAUAUUAUAGAUCUUUAUGAAUCUGACACUGACUUUUCUGAGAGCUAUGCCAAAUGUCAUAAGUUUGCCUGUGAGAAAUUUUAUAGACAGGAUGGAUACUUGUUCUUCAGUAACCGAUUGUGCAUACCACGAGGAUCCAUUCGAGAGUUACUGGUACGAGAAGCUCAUGGAGGUGGAUUAGCUGGACAUUUCGGCGUCACAAAGACACUUCUUGGGCUACAAGAGCACUUCUACUGGCCGAACAUGAAGAAGGACGUUGAGAAAAUCUGCUCUAGAUGUGUCGUAUGUAAGAUGGCUAAGAGUAAAAUUCAGCCUCACGGUUUGUAUACUCCUUUGCCUAUUCCUUCUCAACCUUGGACUAAUAUCUCUAUGGAUUUUGUAGUUGGCUUACCUCGCACCAGAAAUGGUAGAGAUUCUAUUUUUGUAGUUGUUGACAGGUUUAGCAAGAUGGCUCACUUCAUCGCUAGCCACAAGACAGAUGAUGCUGUGAAUGUAGCUAACUUGUUUUUCAGGGAAGUAGUGCGACUGCAUGGAAUGCCACAGGUUAUCGUUUCAGAUCGAGACACGAAGUUCUUAGGACACUUUUGGCGAACGCUUUGGGCUAAGCUGGGAACAAAGCUCUCAUUCUUAACUACGUGUCAUCCUCAGACCGAUGGACAGACCGAGGUGGUGAAUAGAACGUUGUCCACACUUCUAAGGACUUUGGUGAAAAGUAACCUUAAGACAUGGGAAGAGUGCCUGCCUCAUGUCGAGUUUGCUUACAAUCACGCUAAGCAUUCUGCUACUCUCUUUUCUCCUUUUGAAAUUGUAUAUGGGUUUAAUCCACAAUCACCUCUAGACUUGAUCCCUUUGCCUUUAAGUGGAAAAUGCAGUUUGAAUGGCAAGGAGAAAGCUGAACAGGUCAGAAGAAUUCAUGCUAAGGCUAAGGAGAAUAUCGAGAAAAAGACAAAGCAGUAUGAGAAGCAUGCCAACAAAGGACGAAAGGAACUGAUUUUCGAAGAAGGAGAUCUGGUGUGGAUCCAUCUGAGGAAGGAGCGAUUUCCAGCUGAGCGAAAGAACAAGCUAAUGCCCAGAGUUGAUGGACCAUUCGCAGUCAUCAAAAGAAUCAACAACAAUGCCUAUCAGAUUGAUCUUCAAGGUAAGUAUGAUGUUUCUGAUACUUUCAAUGUUUCUGACUUGCUUCCUUUUGUUGCAGAUUCUGAUUUGAGGGCAAAUCCUUUUCAAGAGGGAGAGGAUGAUAUGAUCGUGACCAGCUCAGAGGAGGAGGAACCAGAGGUAGCUGGCAGGAUCACUCGUUCCAGAGCUAGAGAGAUGGCUAAGGAGGCUCACGCACUCAUUGCCACAGAGGACAGCGAUCACCAGGAGGCUGGAGCUCACAUCUUCAACAUCUCUAUCUUGAAGAAUGAAGAACCCAGUAACAAUGACUAGGUAACUUAGGUGAUGAUUCUGUACUCUUUUCCUUGGUGAGGAUUUUGGAAGGCAAGGAGGUUCUUCUCCAAGGUUUUUAACGAGGCAGAAAUCAUUGCUACGUCGAGUUACUUAGAAGUUGUUACUAAUGGGUAAUAAUGUGCAAAGUCACAAUGACUUGUGCACUUAGUAUUUUGGCGCACCACUUAGGAUUUUAGGGACGCCUCGCUGUUUUUAUUUUAAAUCAAACUUCCUGUUGUUUUUAUUUAAACUUCAUGUAGUUUUGUUUCUUUAGGGCUGCGAUUUCUCUAAGUCUAUAUAAUAGAGAAAUCGCCUAAGUCAUUAGGAGCUUGGAAUUUUUAACGUAAAAGAGAGAGCAAAGUUUGCUUUGAUUCCUUGACUCAAAAAGUUCAUUGAAUUCGAUUUUCUUACAAGUGAUUCUUACAAGAAAAUCUGCUACCUAUCAUCUACUCGAUUUCAUCAUCUUCUCUUCUCAUCCUUCACCAUAUCCAUCGAAUUCAUCCCUCCACCAUCACUCGCCAUCGAUCCGCCAAGCCACCAUCAUCAAACCAUCUUCGACUCGAUCCUCAAGCCAUCAUCACCAUCGCAUCGGCCAUCACCACCCCAUCACUUCAUCGUUGUGAUCUGUCCAUAAAAUCGCAGCAUCUACAGCCUUUUCCUCAGAGUAGAUCACCUUGGAUCGUAUCAAUCAGAAACCGCGGUACAAAAGAUGUAUUAAAAAAAAAAGCGUAAAACGAUGAUUGGCCAAUCAUGAUAAAGGCCGUGAAGGCAAAGAUAAGGAUUUGGACCAGUAGUCCGUACACUUGAAAGUGUAAAACUGGUGAGACAUAAGUGGAUCUUUAUACGAAAGAUGAAUGAAAGUGAUACAUGAAAAGAUAUACUUUCUUGUGUGGAUGCAACUAUUUUACAUAUCCUUUAUCAGUAUAAAAAUGAGAGAAAGACUUGAUUUAGUCCUGAAAGGAAAUCAAAUUGCAAAAAGCAAUUAGAAGGAUUAAUGAUGUUCUCGAGAACACUGGCUAUUGGAUUGAAUUAAAGCAAAUAUGCUUCAUGAGGUAUACUCUUAUAGUGGAUAUUAUACAAUAAUCAAUAUACCCAUGUGAAUGUAUCAAAAGAUUAUGGAUCAAUGGAAUCUUUGGUUUGGACAUAAUCAAAACUCUUGAAGAGUUAUCGGAAAUCGAAAUUUGAAAGAAGAAACUUUAGAAUGACAAGUUUGUCUUGAAGUUCUCCAAAUGGUAAAUUAAAGAAAGAGAUAUUUUCUUAAAGAUCCUUGUAUGAUUUUACAUACAAAGUGCUCAUACAUAGUUGGUCUUGAGGUAGCACACUUAAAAUGAUAUUUGAGCAAGUUGUUGAUCUCUUUCAUGAUUGAAAGAUGUGCUUUCGUAUGAUAAGAAAGAAAGCCAACGUGAUAGCUUUUACAAGAAGAGCAUGAAUAACUCGUACGUACAAAUAUGUACAAUAUGAAUAUGUAGAAGAUUGUAUGUAAAAGAAUUUGGCAUAAACAUCCAAAUAGAAAAAGAAAAUAUCCUCUAUGCAAAAGGAUGUUAUGGACUAGAAAUCCAUUAACCUGAGAAAUUUUGAUAAGCAUAUGAGUGUAUUAACCAAGGUUGUGCUUAUAUCAAUUCCCUAAAGAUGAUAUAUGAUUGGAAUGCAUCUCUGGAAGAAGAUGCUUCCAAAGCGAGAAAUAUGAUGAUCUGCGUGGUUGUACUCUUUUUCUUUCUCAUGAUUUUUAUCUCACUAGGUUUUUCCAUGACAAGGUUUUAACGAAGCAACAAGAACACGUAAAUGAUAGUAACCUAAAAGGAAUGUAAAUAUGAAAGUCUAUCACGACUAAAGAGAUUAUUAAGAUCAUCAAAAGCAAAGAAAAAUAUCAAGAUGGAUCAUUUGGGACACUCGAUAAUUGCAGUAUAUUUUGAUGAUGUAAACAUCAUUGGAACUCAUAUAGAGAUUUUUCAGAUAGUGGAAUAUCUUAAAAAAGAGUUUGAGAUGAAAGAUCUCGGGAAAACAAAAUGUGCUUGGGAUUGCAAAUUGAGCAUCUAAAGGAUGGAAUCCUAAUGCAUCAAAUGAUAUAUACAGAAAAAGUGCUUAAAAGAUUUUAUAUGGAUGAUGGACAUCCCUUGAGUAGCCUUAUGGUCGUAAUAUCAAUUGAUGUGUUAAAGGACACCUCUCUUCCUCGAGAAGACGAUGAAGAACUACUUGGUCCUGAAGUACUAUAUUUAAGUGCAAUUGAGGCAUUAAUGUACCUUGCGAGUCAUACGAGACCUGACAUAUCGUUUGCCGUAAUUUAUUGGCAAGAUUUAGCUCAUGUCCAACUCAAAGACAUUGGAAUGGGAUUAAGCAUAUAUUUCGUUAUCUCAAAGGAACAAAGAUAUGAGUUUAUUCUUUUCUAACCCAUCCAAAUGAGAUUUGAUUAGUUUUGCAGAUGUUGGAUAUUUAUCUGGUCCCCAUAAUGCCAGAUCACAGACAGGAUAUGUAUUCACAUGUGGUGGUUCAGCUAUUGCUUAGCGUUUUAUGAAGCAAACCAUUACAGCUACUUCUUUUAACCAUGCUGAGAUUUUAGCUAUUCAUGAAACCAGUCGAGAGUGUAUAUGGUUAAGGUCUGUCAUUCACCAUAUUCGAGAAGAUUGUGAUUUAUCAAAAAGGAAAGAAGCUCCAACAAUUAUGUAUGAAGACAAUUCUGUUUGCAUCCCUCAACUUAAGGACGGAUAUAUCAAAGGAGAUAAAACAAAGUAUAUUCUACCGAAAUUCUUCUUUGCACAUGAUUUGCAGAAGAAUGGUGAUGUUCGUAUUCUACAGAUCCACUCAAACAAUAAUUUAGCGGAUUUGUUUACCAAGACGCUUCCAAUUGCUACUUUCAAUAAUUUGGUUCAACUUAUUAGAUUACGACGUCUCAAGGAUCUAGACGGAGGUACACAUGAGGGGGAGUAAAUGCGUGCUGCACUCUUUUUCCCUUAACUAUGGUUUUUCCCACAGGGUUUUCCUAGUAAAGUUUUUAAUGAGGCAGCAUCUUACGCGCUUUAGUACAAUAUCAUUAUAAUGGUCAUCAGGAGGAGUGUUAUGAAUUAUUAAUUAGAUGCCCAUUAUAAAGCCCAUAACUAUUAUUAUAUUUGUCCCACAUCGGAAACUUGUGGUGGUGACUAGAUCUUUGUAAUACUAUAUAUACCUCUUAUUCUUCCUGGAAUAAGAUACACCAAUUUCCUCUUUCUCUCGAUAACUGAUUUACAACAGUUAUAUAAAAAAGUAUAUUAAUAAAUUUAAAAGUAUUUUGAGUGAUUUUAAAUGAGAUUCAAAAGAAUAUUAAUAAAAAAUAAUACAAUUUCUUUAAUUCACCUAUGUUCUUAAAUCUUUCCAAAUAUUUGAUUUACUAUUUUACCUUGAUAUAUUUUAAUAAAAUUGGCUAAGUCAUUCAAAAGUUUAAGUUAUACUAGAUGUUCUGAGCAAAAGAAAAUAUAUUAUAGUGUAUUUAUAUUUGUUCCACGUUAAAAUAUAUUUAUAGUAGAGUUUAUAUUUUGACUAUACAAAAAAUAUAAAUAAAAAUUGACCAUUAUAAAAAUUUGGUUAUGAUAUUCUUUUUUAAAGUGUAAAUAAGACCAAUUUUCACAUAUUCACACUUUCUCAUUUUCUUCUCUUUCUCCUAUUUUUUAUUUUUAUUCUUGUUCCUUUUGUCCUUCUUCCUUUUUAUAUUCUUCCAACAAAAUACACUCCUCCCCUUUAUUUUAUUUUGCUAUCAAUCUCUUAAAAAAAAAUUGUUUCAAGUUUGCAAUUUUAAACAACAUAUAUUUAUUUAUUUUGGAUUUAGAGUUGGUUUUAUUAUGACAACUCUUAUGUCCGUUUUUUUAAAAUACAAACCAUCUAAGAUGCAUAAAAAAUAUGUGUUUUUAGAAACAUUGUAAAAUUUAAUCAAUUGGAAUAUAAAUUUAAAACAAUAAACAAGAUAGAAUGUGGCAAAAUAUUUACAAAAUAUGAUAGAAAGUGUUGCGAAUAUCUCCGAUAUCAAUUGAACUAUGUUUAUAUGAAUCGAUUACGAUUGAUGGAUUAGAAUCAGAAUGAUUUAUGAACGAAAUAGAAAAAAUAGCGACACGCGAGGAUUUAUCCAGUUCGGGUACAAAACCGCGACCCUAUGUCUGGCUGAGACUUGCUCGGAAUUCACUAAGAGAUUGUUUACAACGUCGCCGUACAACGUCACCGGAAAACUCCCCUGAGAUCCCUUUUUCUAUCACCGGAAAAAUAUCUCACCGUUUUCCUCUCAGAUUACAAGAUCCUCUCUCUCUCUCUAGACUCUCGUAACUGACUAUGUAAUCACUCACAGCUAACUUCAACAACUUGUAACAAGAAGACUAACCACUUAGACGCGCGUUGACUCCACGCACUAAUGGUCACAAGCUCGAGUUCUUCAGCUUCAAGACGAAGCUUCUAACGACGACGUUUUUAGGUGAAAUUAUAUUAGACCCGCGGUUAACUUAUCCUAACCCGGCUCUUCCUCAAUCAGCUCCUAAACUGGAACCUGCCAAUUGAAUCAGAUGGUUUAAUGACCAAAACACAUCCGACAAACUCCACCUUGGUUAUGAAACCAUUUCUCCAAACCUUAGUGAACUCCAUCUCAGAUCCUCUCUGCUUCAAGCUUCAGAGACACCUAGUAGGCUAAGCAAUUGCUUGAACCUACCAACUGGAAAUACCUUUGUAAAGAUAUCCGCAGGAUUCUCAACUGUAUUUACCUUUGAAACCUGCACUUCGUCUUCUUCUACUCUUUCCUUUAUGAAACUCAACUUUACUGCCAUGUGCUUUGUUCGCUCAUGAUGAACAUUGUUCUUCGCAAGAGCUAAAGCACUCUGAGAGUCACAAAAGAUCUCUACCUUCUGCUGUGUAUAACCAAAUUCACUGCAUAACCCUCUUAACCAAAUAGCUUCUUUUGCAGCCUCAGUCAUAGACACAUACUCAGACUCAGUAGUGGACAGAGCAACAACUUUCUGCAGACUCGACUUCCAACUGAUUACACCUCCACCAGACACAAACGCAUACCCUGAGAUAGACCUUCUACGAUCUAAGUCUGCAGCGUAGUCAGAGUCACAGAAACCACAGAUUUUAAAAUCUGAACCUUUCUUAUACAUCAAGCUCAACCCUUUUGAACCCUUGAUGUAUCUUAGUAUCCACUUAACAACACUCCAUGGCGUCUUAGCUGGACUACUCAUAAACCAGCUAACCAAGCCUACUGGAUAAUCUAAAUCUGGUCUCGUCCCUAUCAUUCCAUACAUAAUGCUCCCAACCGCAUUACAGUAAGGGACUGACCUCAUAUAGACUUUGUCUGUGUCCAGUUGUUCCUUAGUUGCAGACGCAAGUUUGAAGUGAGCUCCCAUAGGUGUGUUCACCGACUUUGCUUGAUCCAUAUUAUAGCUCUUAAGUACCUUCUCCAUAUAGCUUUCUUGAGACAAUCUAAGAGUUCCUGCCUCUCGAUCUCGGAUGAUAUCUAUGCCAAGAAUCUUUCUAGCUGUUCCUAGAUCCUUCAUUUCGAAUUUGGAGCUUAGCUGAUCCUUAAGAGCACUGAUGAUUGCCAUAUCCUUACAAGCAACUAGCAUAUCGUCUACAUAUAACAGCAAGUAGACGAAUGUACCUGCAACACAAUUGAUGUAAACACAUUGGUCAUGAUCAUUCCUUUUAAACCCAAUUUCAAGCAUGAAUGCAUUGAACUUUUGGUUCCACUGUCUCGGACUUUGUUUUAGUCCAUACAGAGAUUUCUUCAACAGACACACAUAACUCUCCUUUCCUCUUUCUUCAUAGCCUUCCGGUUGAGCCAUGAAAAUAUCUUCUUCUAAAUCGCCAUGCAAGAAUGCCGUUUUUACAUCCAAUUGCUCAAGCUCCAUGUCCUCAUUCACCACUAUUGACAUCAAAUACCGUAUAGAGACAUGUUUAACAACUGGUGAGAAUAUCUCAUUAUAAUCCACCCCCUUCUUUUGAGCAUAGCCCUUAGCAACAAGCCUGGCCUUGUAUCUUGGUUCUUCAACGCCUGGUAUACCUGGUUUUCUUUGAAAGAUCCAGCUGCACCCAAUGAUCUUUCUCUUCUUCAGUCUUGGAACCAAGAUCCAAGUACAUUUUUUGUCCAACGACUCCAUUUCUUUGUCUGGUGCAGCCUUCCACAGUUUACUAUGUGGAUCUCUCAUUGCAGACCUGAAGUCUGAAGGCUCAACCGGAUCACCAUCUUCUGAUGCGAUUAAAGCCAGAUGCACGAACUCAUCAUCAUACCUUUGUGGAGGUCUUAUGUCUCUCCUUUGUCUGUCUCGAGCCAGCCGAUAACCAUCUGUCUCAGGCUCAUGUUCUGUAUCACUUUCUGAUCCUUCUUUUUCACUGUCUAGGUUAGUAACAUCUUCAUUUGACUCGAUGUCACCCCCUGCGGUUCUAACCUGUCCAUCUCCACCUGAACUGACAUCUCUCUGUUGAUUAAUACCCAGUUCCACAUCCAGAAAAGCAACAUUUCUUUCUUUCGUGACAUCAUUUUUCUUCAACAGAUCCUUGUAACAUUCAGACUCUUUAAAUGUUACAUUUAUGCUGACGAUGCACCGCUUAUCCUCCAAGGACCACAACUUAUAACCUUUUACACCUGUAGGGUAACCACCGAAGAUACCUUUCUUUGCUCUCGGUUGUAGCUUGCCAUCAUCAGAAUGAAAAUAGCACACGCAUCCGAAUACCCUUAAGUGAUGAAAGUUUGGUGCUGUUUUUGACCAAACCUCCUCUAGAAUGCGACCCUGUAUGGCUGUAGAUGGAGUUCUGUUGAUUACAUAGACAACCGUGUUCACUGCUUCUGCCCAGAAAACCUUCGGUAAACCAGACUCACUCAAUACACUUCUUACCCUCUCAAGGAUAGUCCGAUUCAUUCUCUCAACAACUCCAUUUUGUUGAGGAUUGUGAGGAAUAGUCUUGUGUCUAGCAAUAUCAUUCUCUGCACAGAAAGCAUCGAAUUCUCUAUUACAAAACUCUAAACCAUUGUCAGUCCUUAGCUUUUUGACCUUAAGCCCUGACUGAUUCUCAACCAAUACUUUCCACUCCAUAAACUUUUCAAACGUUUAAUCCUUAGUCUUCAAGAAGAAUACCCAUACUUUUCUAGAACAAUCGUCAAUCAUACUCAAGAAAUAAUGACAGUUUCCCAAAGAUUGUGGAACCGAUGGAGAACCCCACAGAUCCGCAUGAACAUAGUCAGACAUUCCUUACUUGUGUGUUGACCUGAAGAGUAACUUUGACGAUGGGACUUACCAAAGAUACAACUCUCGCAGAACUACAAAUUUGAGUCUUUUCCCUUAUCCAAAUAACCCUUCCUGACCAGAAUAUCCAAGCAUUUUUGACUCACAUGUCCCAAUCUGCUGUGCCACAAGUUUGUGUCAUCUUUGGCACUUACCGAAUUCACCUCACCAACAAGGGUCCUUCCUUGAAGAAAAUACAACUUGUGUGUCCUCUUCGCUGACAGAAUCGACCUGCUAUCUUUCUGUACUUGCAAAACUCCAUUUUUAGAGGUAAAUGUGCAUCCUUGCUCCUCAAAGGAUCCUAGAGAUAACAGGUUCCUUGAGAAAUCAGGGACAUACCGAACCUCUUUGAUCAUAACUAGUUGACCGUCUGACGUCUUGAUCCUUAUGGUGCCAAUUCCUUUUACCGCUGAGACUGUUUCAUUGGCCAUUCUGACUGAACCUGCAGUAUAUUCAUUUAGUUCAACAAACCAGUCCUUCCUUGGUGUCAUGUGAAACGUGCAUCCCGUGUCUAGAAUCCAAAUCUCCUUGAAGUCACACCCCGCUGCAACAUUUACUUCUGAGACCACUAAAGACUCAAUGAACUCAAUGCCUGUAACUGCAGAUGAUUCGCCUGUCACCUGCGUCUUGUCUUUGCCCUGACAACUUGAUUUCUUGGGACAGUCCUUUUUAAAAUGCCCCUCACCACCACAAAUCCAACAGGUGUUUCCACCUCCCUUUGCUUUAUUCUUCUUGAACUUGUUGGUUUGUUUACCCGAACCUGAGUCUUUUGAGCUUUUGCCUUUGUUAGUAUUCGAGUAUAAUACCUCACCUUGAGCCUUAGUCACCUUUCCACUAGAUAACUCCAACUUUUUAGAGUGAAUGAAACUGAUAACUCCAUCCAACGUCAUUUCAGCCUUUGAGUACCUCAGGGUAUCUCGAAGUUGAUCAAACUGUUUUGGCAGCGACAUCAGUAACAAGAUAGCCUGAUCUUUGUCUGGAAUUUCAACCAUGACGUUACCUAGAUCAGUGAUUAUCCUCAAAAAUUCAUCAAUGUUAUUCUCAAUAGAAGCCGACUCAUUCAUCCUGAAACUAUAUAGUUUCUGCUUCAAGUACAUCCUAUUUGGCAAUGACUUAGACAUAUACUGUUCAUCUAGAAUCUUCAACAUACCAACCGCAUGCAGUUUGUUCUUUGAUGAUCUUCCUUAGAAUUUUAUCUGUAACACUUGUGACAAUAAUGCUGCGUACCUUUCUUUGUUUCUUCACAAGUUCCUGAUCCGUCUCUGACUUGACCGAUGCCUCGACAUCUUUUCCUUUUGGAUCGACUUUCGCGUUCGGCUCUAAUAGCUUCUUCUUGAGCCUGAUAAGCCUCCACCAGACCGAGGAGGUGAUAGAGAGCGGAAGCUGUAACAAGAGAUCGGAGACGAAGUCGUCGAAAGAAAACUCGUAACGAACUCAAAGAAACAAGAGUACUCCUCUUAGUGCUCGAAAGCUCUGAUAAUUAUUAGUUUCAAAAGUCGAAAGUUGUUCCACAAUGAAUCGUAAAUGUCCUAUAAAUACUAACUAAAGAGAUAAAGCUAACUUCCUAAACCCAAUCCUAACUAUAAAGGAUUUAUGCAUAUCCUUUUAAUAAGAAAAUCUCAAACUGAAUAAAAGAUAAAUAGUAUAACUUGGCAAACACGAACGAGGCCCACGCGUGUUUGCUGAAGCCCGAAAUCAAAGGAUGCGCUGCAUCAGGUCCCCCCGGGUGCGAGAGGAUUUGACCACGAAUCAGCAGGCUCAUUGUCACCGUGGAAAGGAGACAAAUGUUUAACGUUAAAGACAUCGGAAGUGCGAAGAUGCGAUGGCAAGCGAACUCGGUAAGCAUUUGGAUUAAUUCGCUCCAACACUUCAACUGGUCAUAUCUUCUUGGACUUGAGCUUGUUAUAUUCCCCUACCGAGAAACGUUCCUUUGAGAGGACGACCCAGACCAAGUCGCCGGGCUCAAAAAUAACCUCGCGACGUUUCGCAUCGGCCGACGACUUGUACUUAGCUGACGCUGCUUCCAAAUUGGUCUGUGCUUGGCGAUGAAUCGAAUGAAGGCUGUCAACAAAAUCCACCGCUUCACCGUGAAGUCGCGCUUUGUCAGGUAGUGUCGUCAAAUCCAGAGGACAACGAGGAACCAUCCCAUAUACCACACGAAAGGGACUGAAACCCACACUGCGGUUAACUGCGUGAUUAUGUGCGAAUUCAGCUUGGCACAACUUGGCGUCCCAGGCGCGAAUAUUGUCACCCACCAAACAACGCAAAAGGUUACCAAGCAAUCUGUUAGUGACCUCGGUCUGUCCGUCAGUUUGCGGAUGAUAGGCCGAGCUCAUGUCAAGGCGUGUACCCAAAAGCUUCCAAAGAGAUCGCCAAAAAUGGCUUAAGAAGCGAGUGUCGCGGUCAGAAACGAUCGAUAAAGGGAGGCCGUGCAACCUGUAUAUCUCGCGAAAGAAAAGUGUGGCGACACUGACGGCAUCCAUUGUCUUCUUACAGGGGAUGAAAUGUGCCAUUUUAGAAAAACGAUCAACAACGACAAAGAUGAAAUCGUUACCGUGCUGAGUUCGAGGAAGACCGAGUACAAAGUCCAUGCUUACGUCAGUCCAUGGUUGCGUUGGGAUAGGCAAUGGUAAGUAAAGACCAGCGUUAGACGCCUUUCCCUUUGACUGUUGACAAAUGCGGCAACGCUCAACAAAGCGUUCAACGUCGCGACGCAACGUCGGCCAAAAGUACGAUUCCGCCACAAGCUGCAAAGUUCUGUCUCUUCCGACGUGGCCUUCGUUGUGCAACUCGCGGAUAAUCUGAGCGCGUAAGCUGCAAUCUGGAACACAAAUCCGGAGGCCUUUGAAAAGAAAGCCAUCGCAGAGGGUAAAGUCGCUAGGAACCCCGUUCGUGACAUCAGAGAAGAUACGACCAAAGAAAUGAUCGUGAGGGUAUAUGUCGGCAAAGGUAGCGAAGCCCAACACCGUAGUGUGCAUCGAACUGACGAGAGAAUGGCGACGGCUCAACGCGUCGGCCACCCGAUUGGUUUGACCAGACUGAUGGCGGAUUGAAAACGUAAACUGCUGGAGAUAUGCGAUCCACGACGCAUGGCGAGAAGAAACUUUAGCCUGGUCAUGAUCAGUAAAAAAGAUAAACUCCCUGUGUACCAAAUAGUGACGCCAAUGUUUAAUGGCCUGUACGAUAGCGUAUAAUUCGACGUCAUAAGUGCUGUAACGACCUCGCGCUCCUGCUAAUUUCUCGCUAUAGAAUGCGACCGGCCGAUUUUGCUGACUCAGAACUGCACCAAUUCCGAGUUUGGAAGCGUCGCAAUGUAACUCAAAAGGCAGGGAAAAAUUGGGUAACACUAGGAUCGGAGCCGUUGUCAAUAUCUGCUUAAUCAGGUCAAACGCCUUGGCUGCCUCAGAUGUCCAUUCGAACUUCCCGGAUCGCAUACAGGCUGUAAUCGGAGCCAUGAUAGUACUAAAAUGAUGCACAAAACGUCUGUAGAAAGAGGCCAGACCGUGGAAGCUACACACGUCGGAGAUGGUACGCGGCGUAGGCCAAGAACGAACAGCUUCGACCUUGGACAAAUCAACCUCAAGCCCCUGAGCUGACACCACGUAGCCCAGGAAAAGCACCUUAUCAACCCCGAACUCACAUUUCUGUUGUGCCGCAAAGAGCUGUUCGCGACGUAAAAUGAUCAAGACCUCGCGAAUGUGUUGAAUGUGUACUUCCUUUGACGAACUGAAGAUCAAAAUGUCGUCGAAAUACACGACCACCGAUUUUCCCAUGAGAGGUCGGAGAGCUUGAUUCAUGAUGCGCAUGAAUGUGCUCGGCGCAUUCGACAAACCAAAAGGCAUGACGAGCCACUCAAAUAAUCCCUCGCGCGUCUUAAAAGCUGUCUUCCAUUCGUCACCAGGACGAAUACGAAUCUGAUGGUAGCCACUCUUGAGAUCAAUCUUGGAAAAGAUGGUCGCUGCUCCUAUUUGAUCAAGAAGAUCAUCCAAGCGAGGAAUCGGAAAGCGAUAGCACACCGUGAUUUUAUUAAUCGCGCGACUGUCUACGCACAUACGCCAUGAACCGUCUUUCUUAGGGAUGAGUAAGGCAGGAACAGCGCACGGACUUAAGCUUUCCCGAAUGUGACCUUUUCGCAAGAGCUCUUCGACCUGGCGUCGCAACUCGUCGUGCUCAAGAGAACUCAUGCGGUAAUGAGCUCUGUUUGGCAGUGUCGCGCCAGGGAUAAGAUCAAUGUUGUGCUGUAUAUCCCGCAAUGGUGGUAAACCGGAUGGUAGAUCCACUGGAAAUACGUCGCUAAACUCUGCAAUGACAGAGGAAAGAGCAGGAUCCGGUAUCGCAGAAAGACUGCGUGCGCCUGACGCGGGAAGCAAGGCAAAAGCAAAACCCUCCGUUUGUAACUCUGCAGAGAACAUCGCAUAAGAACAUAGUACAUUAGACGGACGCUUGCGCGAAGUCGAUGAUUGCGAGUCUGGCAGUGUGCUCGGUGAAGGAGGAGGUGGCAAAGAAAGUUCCCGCGACGGAAGGAGCAGGAUUUGGUGCGUCUCCCAAAUGAAACUGUAGGUAUUCCGCGCCCCAUCGUGUAUAAUCUUCCGAUCGAAUUCCCACGGUCGCCCUAACAAGAGGUGACUGACAUCCAUGGGUGCGACAUCGCAGUACGUGCGAUCGCGAUAAUGAAGGCCAAUGGAGAAUGCGACCAACGCACUGCGUGAUACGAACACUGACACCUUCUUGCAACCAUCCGAGAGUAUAAGGUGCAGGAUGAUUUUCUCCCGAAAUGCCGAGCUUACCGGCUGCAACAUCGGAGAUGACAUUGCGACAGCUGCCAGAGUCGAUGAUGAACGUACAAAUACGAUCCUUAAUUGUGCAGGUGGAACAAAAUAUAUUCGUUCGAAGCCAUUGAUCAUCCUGUCUGCGCGGCGUUAAACACGAACGUCGCACAACUAAAAGAUGGCCUGUAUCACCAGGUGUGAUCUGCAGGGAAGCUGUGUUAGGGUCAACAUCAUCAUCAUGAGAGUCGUACAAGGCGUCGUGGUCCUCUGUUGGUCCAUCUGUGACAAGUCACGCCGAGUUUGAUGGGGACAAGCUGUUUGCCGGUGUCCCUAUUCGCCACAAGAAUAGCACCGUAAUGCUGCAGGUCGUGACGAACGACGCAACACUGGUUCUUCCGCCGGAGCUGUAGGACGAGAGGCAGAAGCCGCACCUUCAGUACUCUCCUUUGUCGCAACUGGGUUCGAUCCAACGCUCUGCUCGAGUACCCUGUUUCUGGACGCUGAAGACGGCCAAUUAGAGGAACGCAGCUGUUGCUCGAAUGACGCAGCGCGUCGGAUUGCUUCGCUGAUCGAGGUCGGGUCAAAUUGAGCCAUUGCGGUCUGAAGCUGAGAUCGAAGGCCGCCAAUGAAGCGAGAAACAAGCUGGUUUUCACUGUCGCGCAGCUCGUUUUGCGUUAACAGAAUUGAGAACUCUUCCGCGUAGUCGUCCACCGUGUGCGAUCCUUGUUGCAGAUUUUGGAGUCGCGUAUACAUAGUGCGAUCGUAGUUGUGCGGUAAAAAGGCCUUGCGCAGGUGUUUCUUCAAUCUCUCCCACGAUUGAAUUGGCUCUUUGCCUGUGCGUGUGCGCAUGGACUUGAGCUGCUUCCACCAAGACGCGGCAUGACCGCGAAAACGCAUCGCGACCAAUGGAACUCGUCUGUGAUCGGGCACCUGUUUAAAAUCGAGCACCUCCUCAACCGAAACAAGCCAAUCCAGAAGUUCGUCGCCACGAAUUCCUCCAUGGAAUUCUGGAAUGUCGACACGAAACCCAGAUUCCCACUUGUUGCCACGGUCAUCACCAUAAGCAUCAUCUCGUCGGACACGACGGUGGUGAGGGUCAUCAUCAUCAUCGUCUUCCGUAUUGUAUGCCUCGUCGCGGUUGUGUGCACGAGCCGGGACACGGGCGUCCAAUCGGUUUAACAACAUCUCUCCAAGCUCAGCGAUGGAAGCAUGGAUUGUCGUCUGAAUGUUUUCCUGCAACGCUAGGAGUGUGGAACGCAAUUCAGCCCAUUCGGUCGUCGGAACUGGAGCUGUCGUCGGAGCUGGUGCUGUAUUCUCGCCGCCGUUGCCAUUCUUCUUUGGAGGCAUCGUGACAGAGAUCCGAAACUACAGAAACGUACUGAAUCUGAUACCAACUGAUAGAGAGCGGAAGCUGUAACAAGAGAUCGGAGAUGAAGUCGUCGAAAGAAAACUCGUAACGAACUCAAAUAAACAAGAGUACUCCUCUUAGUGCUUGAAAGCUCUGAUAAUUAUUAGUUUCAAAAGUCGAAAGUUGUUCCACAAUGAAUCGUAAAUGUCCUAUAAAUACUAACUAAAGAGAUAAAGCUAACUUCCUAAACCCAAUCCUAACUAUAAAGGAUUUAUGCAUAUCCUUUUAAUAAGAAAAUCUCAAACUGAAUAAAAGAUAAAUAGUAUAACUUGGCAAACACGAACGAGGCCCACGCAUGUUUGCUGAAGCCCGAAAUCAAAGGAUGCGCUGCAUCAGGAGGUCUAGAUUUGCGAACAGUCUCUCUUUCCACAUGUUAUAGUCGAUCACACAGUUGAAUUUCUCGAUCUCAAUUUUAGCGGAAGACAUCGUGACCGAGAAUCAACACACCAGAACAAUCGACGACAUAAUCGAGCUAGAUCUUUCCCAGUAUUCCCGACCUUCGCUUUGAUACCACUUGUUGCGAAUAUCUCCGAUAUUGAUUGAACUAUGUUUAUAUGAAUCGAUUACGAUUGAUGGAUUAGAAUCAGAAUGAUUUAUGAACGAAACAGAAAAAAUAGCGACACGCGAGGAUUUAUCCAGUUCGGGUGCAAAACCGCAACCCUACGUCUGGCCGAGACUUGCUUGGAAUUCACUAAGAGAUUGUUUACAACGUCGCCGUACAAUGUCACUGGAAAACUCCCCUGAGAUCCCUUUUUCUCUCACCGGAAAAAUAUCUCACCGUUUUCCUCUCAGAUUACAAGAUCCUCACUUUCUCUCUAAACUCUCGUAACUGAAUGUGUAAUCACUCGCAGCUAACUUCAACAACUUGUAACAAGAAGACUAACCACUUAGACGCGCGUUAACUCCACGCACUAACGGUCACAAGCUCGAGUUCUUCAGCUUCAAGACGAAGCUUCUAACGACGACGUUUUUAGGUGGAAUUAUAUUAGACCCGCGGUUAAUUCAUCUUAACCCGGCUCUUCCUCAAUCAGUUCCUAAACCGGAACCUGCCAAUUGCAUCAGAUGGUUUAAUGACCAAAACACAUCCGACAGAAAGAAAUCGAUAAUGAUGAGUCACCUCUCACUUUUAUCUCUUGUUAACUAUUUGCACCUAAAUGAAAUGAAAUUUUUUUUGUCCAAAUGGAUUUGAAAUGGUUACUUGCUCCAUUAUACUAUUUACAUAUCUAUACAGUUAAACAUAAAGCCCAAUUAUUGGGUAAACUAUCUCCCAAAAAUUAGGCUUUGCUAGUAUUUAUUGAUUUAGUGUUAGUUAUGAAUCAGAAAUACUGGUAAUUAGAUUUACUUCGGUUUCAAAAAAGUAUGAUUUGCUAGAUUUAUUAACUCAGGUCAUAGUUUGGUCUCAAUAAUUAUCCUUUCGUAGAGUAUAUCUCUCUAUUUAUCUAUUUACGAUGUACACAAAGUAGACAAAGUCAACGUCUAAACCUUUGUACAGAUGAUGUAAUGUAACAAUAUCAAAUAAGUUUCCUAAAAUUGCCAGGUUUUUAGUAUAGUUUUCCUUUUCCGAGAGGGAUCAGGAUCACUCCAAAACUUCUUUAAUAAACUAAAAAAAACGUAUUCGAAGAAUUAAAAUCACAAAAAGCCAAAUUAAGAGCUUAGCUUCAUAGUCUCUCAUCAAUUCGAUUUUUGUUCAAUAUAGUUGGUACGAAACGAAACAUGGACAUAGAGAAGACACAAGAGUCGCAGCAGAAGACCGACGAUGAACUCUGGUUCCACGUUCCUCCUCAGACAUUCGACUCCUUGAGAUCAUCACCAUCUUCUUCUACCGAUGCAAUCAUCAUCAACGACAACGACGAGGAUGAAACCCUAGAGUCGAAAGAUAAGAAGACAGACAACCUCGAUUCUCCGACGUUUAACUCCUUGGACUCACUGCCCUCUACUAAUGCAAUCAUCAUCAACGACGACGACGAUAAGAAGAAGAAGAAGAAGUUGAGAUUAGGGUCUUCGUUGGAGAAAGAUGAAGCCUAUAACGAACUAAGUUGCGUGGUGAAGUGGUUACCGAAGAAGAAGGACGAUAAUGAUGCUGAAUCAAGAGUAGUAGAUUCAAGCUUUUCUUCUACUGAUCCUCACGAGAAGGACGAAGAGAGAUCAGUAUCAUCAAGUCAUCAUGACAAGAGUGGUAAUAGUGGCAAUAGACACGUGUCCCUUGAUGAUUUGGGUGUUUCGGUGGAAGAUCUUAAGAGUAUGCCAUGGGAAGCGUUUGACCCGAAUUGGGAUAUUAGGUCAGAGGCCAAGGAUCCAUGGCUUGGUGGCUACGUCAAAGACAUGUUCUCUCCUCAUCACUAAUUUCCCACACUUAUUUAUUUCCUUUUUUAAUUAAUUUUUCAAAAAAAAGAGAAAAGUAACAUCUUUUAUUAAUUUGUGAGAUUAUUAACUCUAUAAUGCAUGUAUUCAACCAGAGAGGUGUUACAUUAUAACUGCUCCUUAGAUAUAUAUUUUUUGUAACCAUGUCUUUCGAGUUUUAACGGUGAAUAUCGUGAAGAAAAUUGCUACGUAAAUUCAUAAUUUAGAGUGAUUUUGGGCGUUGAAACACUAAACCCUAAACCCACAAAACAGAUAACUUUUUACUCAGGCCAAACAGAGCCAUCGACUUUGCUACAUCAAAGUCGUUGGAAAUAAGAAAACAGAAUCUAGAAGAGAUUUAUCACAUCAAUGUCAAGUUGUUAACCAUAAGGAUACAUGCAAACACAACAUUGCUUAAAUUGAGCCGUUUUCUUCAACGACCAGAGAGACUAAUCUGUUGAUAGUUAUUAUCAAUGGACUCUUUGACAGCAUCAACCACUAGCUGCGUCUUCCGGCUAAUGCUAGGCCAAAACAAAUCAGGCUUUGCACCUUUGUUCUUGAUUUCUCCAACCAACCUGGCGAAUUCACUCACCAUACACGCUUCUUGAGGGAGCUCUGUCUUAACCGUGUGUUCAGCCGGAGGGUUAACCCAUGCAGUCGCUGCGGGCUUAUUGAUCCAAGCGUUAGUGCAAGUUGUGAAUGAUGCCUCCGUCUCUUGAAACGGGAUAACAAAGUCGUGAACACGAAGUGUGCCUUUUGUUCCAAUGGCGGUUAUCUCCAUUGUUAGGUUUGCCAAGUAGGAGCAGUAUAUGGUUGCGGUUCGUUUGUCUUCUUCCCAUGUCAUAGAUGCUCCACAGGAGAGAUUCACUCCUAACUUGUUUCGGAAAGUUCCUGGAAAGGCCGUGACUGUUUUGGGAAGCUCGAAGUUGUUGACUAAAAGGGUUGCUCGGAUCGUGUACCAUCCAGCGUCUCCUAGCGCACCAAGACCAUCAAGAUCCGGUUUGGCACGGAUACUGUUUUCGAGGAAAUCUUUGUUCGCAGCCACGGUGAAGCAACUAUGUACCUGCAAUGUUUUAAUAACGAAAAGAGUUUCAAGAAACAGCUCUUGACAAUAUUUAAUCUUUCAAGAAACAAAAGUAAUCACACAAACUGAGGAAUAAUUACAGAAGCCACAAACUGACUAUUGAAAUGGGAUUUUUCUAUUAAAAGCAAACAGUAUGGCAUUGAAAAUUCAUAUUUUCCUAGAAGUUUGUUUUUUUUUUGGGUGGAUAUUGAGAAAUCCAAAAAGUAGAGACAAACAUGAAUUGGAUACCUUAUAAUUAUAGGAUAUACGGAAUCAGAGUCGGUUCCAAAUAACUAUUUUAAUCGAAUUGGGAUCGGCCGGAUCAGCCAAAAAUAGUUAACAAUAAUUAUAUAAUAAAAUCACUAAAAACUAGAACCAAGAAAAAAAAAACUCAAUUAAGAUCUAUUACCAUGUAUAAAGGACAUGUUGACUAUAUGUUCCUUAUAAUAAUAGUAUAAAUGACAAUAACUCAAAAGCGAUUUUAAUAAUUUGAUGGCAAAAAUGUUUCGAAAGAAUUAACACAUGUGGAGAGAGUGCUUACGUUUUUAAGCUGGCCAAAACGGUCUGAGUCGAAGAGGAAUUCUUUAAGCUUAUCCGUUCUAGGAUGAUGAGCCCACAUGGUACCAUCCAUAAUCUGAACACCAUUGAUCUCGCAAGCCGCAACAAUCUUAUCGAACUCAGCUACGUUCAUGGCCACAGGCUUCUCCAAAAGGAUAUGCUUCCCUUUCUCGGCGGCACGUAUAGCCCACUUGGCGUGGAGGCUAGUCGGAAGAGGAAUGUAAAGAGCAUCAACCUCUGAAUCUUCAAGAAUCGACUCAUAGGAGCCGUGGACCUUUGCCGAUUGAGGGUAGCCAUUGGAGGUAGCAAACAAUUUGGCUUUCUCCAUGGACCGGCUUGCAAUAGCGGCUAUAGUGGCGUUUGGAGCGAGGUGGAUUGCUCGAGAGACCUUGCGAGCGAUUUCGGCGCAUCCCAUUACUCCAAUUCGGAUUGGCAUAUCGGUAGCCAUUGUUGUUGUUGAUAUAUCGGAUUAGGGACUAGUGGUCAUGUAUAGAGAGAGAACUAGGAUCAAAGACAAAACAUGUAGGGAGAGAGAGGUUUAGGACUUAAAGUGGGGAGACCACCUCAAAUAAAGUUUAAAGGACACGUUUUUAUAAAGAGUCGAGCCUACCUGCCAGAUCUCCAAAAAAUAUCAGAAAAGUUAACAGUUGCCACUACAAGAAAACAUGCUGAAAACCUACGGAAAAUAUCGUCAGAAAAACAUAAAAAACAGCCCUUUCUUACCAAAUUCCUAUGAAAUUUUGUUAAAUGGUAGGAAAUUUCCUACGAAAAUGUUGGUAGGAUAUUUUUCCUACGGAAUUUUUAGUAGAACUUUCCAACCAAAUUAUUACCAUUUUCUAUCGAUUAGUGUUCUUUCCAAUUUCCUACGAAACAUCACUUACCUAUUUCCUACGAUUUUUUUACUAAUCUUUUACUUCAAAUUUCUUACCAAUUUUCUACCAAUAUAAUUUUAUAAAAAUCAAAAACUAAAUUAAUAUCAGAAAUUGAAUUUAAAUUAAAAUAUAAAUUAAUUAUAAAUUUUGACAUUUUUUUCGUAGGAAAUUUCUUACCUAUUUCCUACCACUUUUAUUUUUCGUCAUAAUUACGUAAGAAAUUGGUGAAAAAUAUUCCUACCAAAUACAUUCGUAGGAAUUUUCGUAGGAAUAUGAUAUGUUUUCUUGUAGUAUGCUGCUUUUUAAGAGGUAAAGCUUUUUUUUUUUCUUUUGAAUUGGUAAUUGUGGUUUUACUUAGACAUUGUUUAUCACAAUUUAGCUAGUCACUUAAUGUACAAUUUCAAGUAACUAUUGGUUCUUCUUCAUUAUCAUUUUUAAACUUUUUAAUAUUAGGACAUUCCAACUAUCUUGCUGUCGGUACUGAUCAUUCUAAAUAGGUUACUGCAAAGAAAGAAAGACGUUUUUUUUACCUUGUUUAUGAACUCUGUCUAGUUUUAUUUUAACAGAAGGUUGAUAUAUAUGAAUUUCUGGUUCUUUAUGCUUUUACAUGUUUUCUCUCACCUUUCUGAUUACACCGUGUGGUUACAUGCAUAGCUAGCUCAACUCUCUCUCAUUUUUUCUUAUAAACUUAUAUAUAGAAGAGACAACCUCGAACCCUAAUGAAAUUUAUUAGGAAAUAUUAUCUCACAUCGGAAUCGGAAGUUGAAAGAAAUCCUGACUAAUAUAUAACUGAUAGGGUCAAUCCACUCAUUGUCAAUUGGUUUUAUGUUGGAAGCAUAAGACACUUAACAUAGUAUCAGAGUCUGAUCUAUGCUGUCCAACCCGAUUCAUUAUCGAUCCAACCCAAAGUUGGUCCCAUCGAUCCAAGCCCAAACAUAACAAGAUUGAUGGCGAAAGAACCAUCAUCUCGAGGGAGCGUAUUAAGAAAUAUUAUCUUACAUCGGAAGUUGAAAGGGAUCCUGACUAAUAUAUAAAAGAUUUGAGUCAUUUCACUCAUUGCCAAUUGAUUUUGAGUUGAAAGUCCAGAAAACUAACAUAGUAUCAGAGCCCGAUCCACACUGUCCAACCCGAUCUAUUAUCAAUCUGACCCAAAGUUGGUCUUAUCGAUCCAAGCCUGGACAUACCGAAAUUGAUGACCAAAUAACCAUUAUUUCGAAAGAGUGUAUUAGAAAAUAUUAUCAUACAUUAAAAAUUGGAAGGAAUUUUUACUAAUAUAAGGGAUAUGGGCAAUCCACUUAUUUUCAAUUGAUUUUGAGUUGGAAGCUCAUGAAAUUUAACAAAAUCACCAAAAACAUUUGAAUUCACAAGAAGAAAAAUUUUCCUUCUUGACCAGUAAUGCAAAAGCUUAAUUUAUUGUGGUUCCAAAAGAUUAACUCAACCCAAAUCCAACUAAAGUUAACGCUUGGGUUUUUUCUUGAAGACUUCCUCGUCAAGUUCACAUCUUCACGUUAAUAAAAUAAAGCAAGUCAACUGAUUCAUGUCUGUGAUAAUUAAAAAUAAACCAUUUGCAAGAAUUUAUAAUGUUAUUAUAUACCAAACAUUAAUAAAUAACUAUUUGAUCAAUUCCAUAGAUUACAUUUCUAAAUAUUAUUUUUCAUCCUUUGUAUAUUUGCUUGUUCAUUGUUUGUUACCUGCAAAGACAAAGUAAUAAGUUAUUUGUUUUUCAAUAUACUAGAGGCCAUUACUAUAAGAAAGUUUCUUUUCCGAGAGCUCGUCAUCUCACAAAGACCCUAAAAAUCAACCUUGAGAAAGUUUCUUAUAGUUGGGGCCACGACUUUGAGAAAGUUUCUCAAUUUGAAUUCUUUUCCUCCUCGGUAGAUACCUUUCUAAAAUCAAUGUUCAUAAUCUUCUCUUUAUCCUACAUCUCUCAUGGUUUCUUCUUCUUCGUAUAACAUCAGGAGAUACCAUGUCUUUACGAGCUUCCACGGGCCAGACGUACGCAGAACAUUUCUUAGUCAUUUGCACAAUCACUUUGCAACCAAAGCGAUCACAACGUUCAACGAUCAGAAGAUCGAGAGAGGUAACACAAUCGGACUUGAACUCGUACAAGCCAUUAGAGAAUCAUGACUCUCAAUCGUGGUGCUCUCGAAGAAGUACGCUUCUUCAAGCUGGUGUUUAGAUGAAUUGGUUGAAAUCUUGGAGUGCAAAGAAACUUCGGGGCAGAUUGUGAUGACGAUUUUUUAUGAUAUUGACCCAUCGGAUGUACGGAAACAGAGUGGACAUUUCGGAAGAACUUUCAUGAAAACUUGUGAAGGGAAAGCGGAAGGCGAGAAGAAAAGGUGGAUCAAUGCUUUGACAUAUGUAGCAACCAUUGCCGGAGAACACUCUCAAAGCUGGUUUGUACUUUAGUUUUGGUCUUCUAAUAAAAUGGUACUUUCAUCUUAGACACAUUCCACAAUAAUACACCAACUAAGUUUCUGUUACCAUUUUUAUUCACCUAACUUUUCACCAAUCACCAUAUUUUAUAUCAUAACACGAGAUUACAAAAAAAAAGCCAUACAAUAGACACUAUUUGCGACUCUAAACAGAGCGUCGUAUUAUGAAAAGAGAUGUGUACAAGAGAACCAUGAGAAAAGGUUUGUGUCGGAAAACCUCUUAAAAAAUGGAUAAAGGUUAAUAGUUGGUGAUGGAAAAGAUAUAAUACGUUUAUUAUAUACGUAUGCAAAACGUUGAUUUCUUAAAAUGGUUAUAGAAAUUUAGUUGGUGCAUUAUUAUUAGGGAUCUCUUAUUAUUAUUGAAUUUUCCAUUUUAUUUUUCUUAAGAAUGCUUCAAUGGUGGUGCCUCUUUAAAUUUGGACUCGUUAUUUCUGUUAGGGACGAUGAAGCUAAGAUGAUCGAAAAGAUUGCUAUUGAUGUUUCAAACAGACUAAGUCUUACACCAUCAAAGGAUUUUGACGGGAUGGUGGGAAUGGAAGCCCACUUGAGAGAAACAAAAUCUUUUUUAUUUUUUUAUUUAUUUUUUUUUUUUUUAAAGUAACCAACUUUUAAUUAAAAAGAAAACCCUUACAGCUAUGACCGAGAUCAUACAGUUUUAGAAAGUAGGUUAAAAGAAGAGAAAAAGUGAAGAGUACAUAAAAUGAACCAGAUACAAUCGAAUCUUCCGCUUCGAUUGACUUUCGUGCUUAGAUUAACAAGAAAAUUAGAUGCGACCGCCUCGGUUACCACGUCCUCGGUUUCCACGUCCACGACCUGUGGAUUGCCAAUUCAUCUCUUUAGCCUUUGCUGAUGGCUUCACUGGUCUUUCUCGAAGAAUUCGCUUCCCCGAAGGAGUCAUGAGAUCCAUCGAGUCCAUUUCUUUGUCUGAAUCCGACAAGUCUUUUUCUUCUUCCGGAGAAAUCAGAGAAGCAAACUUAUUAGAACCCAAAUCAGGCACUACUAUUCUCAUACUUUCCUUCUCGACAGUAGGUUUUGCUUGAGCAUUAGUGGUAACAGUGGAGUAUAAAGAACGAGCAGCCUCCAAAAAAGAAGACUCAAUGACAUUAUUGUUGGUAGCUGAAAGAGAGGUUUGAUAUGCUGUGGGGACAGUCGCAUUCACAAUUGUCGAAGCUGUAGAUACCGGAAUGAUAUCUUCUAUGAUGGAAGCUUUAACUAAAUCAACGGUGAUAGUUGUUAGUAGCAGGUAUCUCAAUACUUAUGGAAGGAGCUGAGUUAGAGUGGUUUUGAGCAGAGAUCGGGACAGAAUUGGAAGCUCCAGCCACGUCCAUGUCAACCAUCAACACAGUUUCUUUAGUUGUAUUAUCAUCAACCCUUGGGCCGUUUUCCUCUUGUAAGCAACGCUUAACUUUGUGUCCCAAUUGGCCACACCUGCUGCAUUUAGAAGGCAACCAUGCAUAUUCCACAUCAACCAUUGAAAUAACCCCAUUUAAAUCAUCAGCAGCUAUUCGGGAUGGAAAAGCUUUACUCAACUCAACUUCAACCAAGAUUUUUGCUUCACCCAUGAGAAUGGGAUCCAACCGAGGCUUGUGAGUUGCCAUGGGAGCACCUAAACCCGAAGCAAUAUGACUUAUACCCGGGAUAGCAUAUAAAAUAUUGGGUAUGUUCUUUAAGGUUACCCAAACCGGAAUGGUUUUAAUCUCAGGAAUAGCAAGGGAAGCCUCUGAGGUCCAAGAAACUACAAACAUUAGGCAAUCAUCAACAUGCCAUAGUGCUCGCUGGAGAACCCAAAUCCUAGUGGAUUCAUCUGGUAAAUGGAAUAAGUAAUUUGAUUCACCAAGCUUCCUAAUGGUUAUUCUGCAAUUUCUUCCCCAUAACUUGUUGAAGACAGCAAAUAUUAAUCCACCUGACGGAGGAGAGCAUCUAUAGAAUUGACCAAGAAUAUACUCUUUCUGGUUCUCUAAUCCUUGUAACAAGACAUGUUGAGGAAUUGUUACCUUAGGAGUCCCAUCUUCUAGAUAUUCUGGCUCAGUUGCCCUGUAGAGAUUCCUUGGAUUCAUUUUUGCUGCCCAUGGAAACCGAAUAGGAUCUUCUACAGCCGCUGGUUUUGGUUUUGGAUUAUAAAAAACCUGUUGUUCACGAGCCUGCUGCUUUCUACUAGGCUUUGAGACAGAAAGAGUAGGCCACAUUUCUCUGGAAAUUGGAGGAGCUUGAUGAGAUGACGAUGCAAUUGAGAAGUUUAGCUUUUUAGCCCAUGCACCUUUUAAAGCAGGAGAUUGAAUGGGACAAUGGUUGAGGAGUUCUUCACCAGCAACUUCCUUACCCAGAGUAGCAGGGGCUUGCUCCGUCAGAAUCGUUGAUUGGUUCCCUUCGUUCAACAAUUUUUCGGCAGAACAGACGACCGCCAAGCCUGUCGAUUGAAGAGGAUUAACCAAAGACGCAACUGGGCUCGCAAGGGAAGGAUGAGACGGUGGAGGAAGCAAUCGUUGGACAGCAGGACGAGUAGCGAUUGAGGGUGGAGAGCUGGAUAUAUUGGUCGCAGUCCAACGAUUCAGGUAGGGCCAGCGGGGGUCCGGAGAGUCAGAGGGUUUUUCGCCGGAGCUAUCUCCAAUUGCAGCGGCAUGACCAGAAAACUCAUCCGAAUUUUUAAGUAAACUUGAUGAAUCUGGGUUCUGUAAAUCCAUAAUGGGAAGGAGAUGAUCACUACAAGAAAGAUCGGCUUUUACGUCGGCAGAUAUCGACGUAAAAUCGACGUAAAAGAGCAUUUACGUCGAAUUAACGACGAAAUAAAAAUCGUCGUAAAACGAUCGUCGUAAAACCGAAAUCGUCGUAAAAUCGUCGUAAAAUUACCAACUCCGGAAAAUCGUCGUAAAAUCGUCGGGAACUAUUCGUCGUAAAUGCGUCGUAAAUUUUCCAACGGAUGUACAACGAAAGAACUCCAUAAAAACGACGUAAAAUCGAUGAAAAAUUACAUCGAUUUAACAACGAUUAGGAGACGAACAAUUUCAAUUAAGGGAAACUAAAUUUUUAAUUGUCGAUGUUAAAUCGUCGUAAAGUUUCGACGUAAAGCUGACGUAAACUUAUUCGUCGUAAAUUUGUCGUUAAAUAUUCGACGUUAAAUCGACGUAAAUUUACGACGAAUUUACGUCGACUUAUAAAUUAAUUAUUUAAUUCGAUUUUAAUUUAAUUAAUGAAUUUUUAAAAUAAUCAAAAAAUUAAAAAUAGAAAAAAUUUGAAUUGAAAUUGAAAUUUAAAUUCAAAAAUAAUUUAUAAAUAAAAAAAAUUAAUAGAAAUUGUUUUUUACAAAAAAACCUAAUCUAUACAAUGAUGUCGUAAUCGUCGAGGUUGAGAUCGACGUCACGAGGAGGCUCUCCGUCUUGGCCGCCCGUCGCUGCUAGGCCGACGUUUCCCGUCUGCACUACCGGAGCCGAAGUCUGACCGCCCGUCGCUGCUGAGACCGGAGCCGAAGACUGACCGCCCUGCGUCUGGUGGUCCGAUGGUCCAGUACCAGAACUACCACUGGUCUCAAAAACCCUCCGUGCUCGCUGUUGCCUCGCUCGGAUUGCGGUGGCCAACUGCGGAACCGCUUCCGCAAUGAUGUCGAAGAGAUCAUGUAUCUCGGUGAGCUCCUGCUUCUGGGCCACUUGCUCAUGCCUGAGACUGGUGAUCUCAGCAUUUGCCGUAGCAAGCUCCUGGCGAAGCUGCGGAUCCUGCGUGCGGAAUCCGGAAGCCGUGGCGGCAGGACAAUCUCUAAUAGAGCCCAUCCCUAAGGUUCGGCCCUUCUUCUUCGGAGUAACCUACAAAUGGAAAAUAAAAACGUUAAUUAUUUAUUAAGUAAUUAUAAAUAUAAUAAAUUUUUAAAAAAUUGAAAUAGAUAUCAUACCUCUUCGAAAAUCUGGUCUUGCUCAGCGACGGUCAACGGUACUUGGAUAGUACCGUCAGGUGUGGCCUGGGUCUCCCGCUCGGCGAUCCGCUGCAUAGCGGCAUUGUAGAUCUCCUCGGACCGAACGUCGACAAAGCUCCCGUCCUUCUUCCGGUGAGUGGUCUCGAAGAGCUUCGUCAUUGGAGGUAGUUCUCCUCCGUUCUCCUCGGCCUACCAAUUAAUAAACAUUAUUAGUCAAAAAUAUUUAAUUAAUUCUAGCGAUAAAUAAAAUUAAAAUAAUAAUGAAAUAAUUUAUAUUUAAUUACUUACCAUCAUGAGACGUCUUCCCGCAAAAGAUAUUUGGCUCGAACUUAUUGUAUCGCCGAGAUGCGUUUACAUCUACCACUCCAAAUUUGUUAAUUCGCACUCCACGACCUACCGUAGGAUCAAACCAAUCACAUUUGAAUAGAACAGUUUUCAUUCUGACUAAUCCGGGGUAUUCCACUUCAAUUAUCUCUUUGAUGAUCCCAUAAAAGUCUACUUCACCUCGUACACAAACUCCAUAGUUUGUAGUUGCCCGUUGAGUGCCAUGACUAUAAGUAUGAAAAACAUAGCCACGUGUGAAAUACAUAGCUGCAGUAGUUAUCUUCGAAAUAGGACCUAGGAGCAACUCAUGAAACCAUACUGCAUAUGUCAUGUCAUCAUAUGCUCGACUUGACCUUUUAACCACAAUGCAUAAUGUUGGUCUUUUCGCUUGUUAAUUUCAUCUUCUGAAACACCGUCAAUGCAUUCUCGGACUUGACUGACGAAAGUGCUGAAAUUUAAAACAUUGUUAAGGACAUUUCGUAUGUUCAAUCAAAUUUUAAUCAUACAUGGUUAUAAUUAUGUACCUCUCGUAAGGUGCCAAUUCCUCGCAAUUCAGAAGUAUAUAUGUAUGUGCGCUGUGGUAGUCUUGUUCGUUUGACCAACAAGUUUCUUUUAGUUUCCCACUUAGACGUCCAAUUGGUGAGAAUAUAUCAGGCACACCUUCUACUGCGUAACUUUGUCCUACACCCCCAUCGUCGUAACGUCUUGGAGCCUGUUUGCGUGUACGAACCUUUGGAGCAAAGUAAUAAGACGUGAAAUGAGAAGUCUCUUCUGUCAGACUUCCCGCCACGAUAGACCCUUCAACUUUUGCUAAGUUUUUGGCCUUACCCUUCAAAUGCUUCAUAAAUCGUUCAAACGGAUACAUCCACCUAAACUGAACAGGUCCUCCCAACUCUGCUUCAUGAGGGAGGUGUAUAGGUAAAUGUUCCAUAACAUCGAAGAAAGCAGGUGGGAAUAUUUUCUCCAAAUUGCACAACAAUAUUGGAAUAUUUGUAGACAGUUGUGCAACUACAUCUUCUGAUAAUGUCCUUGUACUUAGAUCACGGAAGAAAGCUCCAAUGCCUCAUAGUGCCUCAUGGACAUGUCCCGGUAGGAGUUCAGCAAACGCAAAAGGAAGUAACCGUUGCAUAAACACAUGACAAUCAUGACUUUUCAUCCCUGAAAACUUUUGUCCUUUAUCCACAGAUUUAGCCAGAUUAGAUACAUAUCCAUCAGGAAAUUUCACGGCUGAUGAUACCCAAUUAAACAAUGCUGUUUUUUGUUCAGCACCCAACCGAAAUACAGGAACAGGUGCUUUCCCAUUACUCACCAUAUGCAACUCAAUUCUGUUACAUAUAUCGGGUAAGUCCAUCCGUGAUUUAACGCUGUCUUUGGUUCUUCCUUGGACGUUCAAAACAGUAUGCAUGAUGUUAUCGAAAAAAUUCUUCUCAAUGUGCAUAACAUCAAGAUUAUGUCUAAGCAAAUGAUCUUUCCAGUAAGGCAGAUCCCAAAAUAUACUUUUCUUGUGCCAAUUAUGAUGAACCCCAUAUCCGUCAGGCAUAUUCGCAGGAGUGUGCCAAUUUCCUCCAAGGGGGACCGUUUCAAGUCCACCCCAAUGAUCUAUUUGCGCUUCAAGCUCUACUCCAGUUAGGUACACUGGUGGAGGGAGACGAACCAAUUUGUUCUUUAUAAACAAACGCCUAUUUCUUCUAUAUUGAUGGUUUGGUGGUAAAAACCGACGGUGGCAAUCAAACCAACAUGUUUUCCUACCAUGUUUAAGCUGAAAUGCAUCAGUCCUAUGAAGACAAUAAGGACAUGAUAACCUCCCAUGCGUUGUCCAACCUGAUAGCAUUCCGUAUGCCGGGAAAUCGUUUAUUGUCCACAUAAGCACCGCUCGCAUCGUAAAAUUUUUACCACUCGAACAGUCAUAUGUUCGUACUCCAACAUGCCACAACUGGUUUAACUCAUGUAUGAGUGGUUGCAAAAAAACAUCAAGGGCCCGCUUCGGGUGAUUUGGACCAGGGACUAAUAUACUUAGAAACAAAAACUCUCUUUCCAUGCACAUAUCUGGAGGAAGGUUAUAUGGCGUAAGAAUCACAGGCCAUAAUGAAUAUUGCCUACCAGACAUACCAAAUGGACUAAACCCGUCAGUGCAAAGACCAAGAUAAACAUUUCGCUUAGACCUAGCAAAGUCUGGAUGUACGGUGUUAAAAUGUUUCCAAGAUUUUCCGUCAGACGGGUGAGUCAUUUUGCCAUCUGUUUGUGAAUGUUCCGCAUGCCAUCUCAUCGACGCAGCUGUCCGUUCGGAUUGAUAUAGUCUUUUUAACCUAUCAGUGAUUGGAAGAUACCACAUUCGUUGGUAAGGAAUCUUCUUACGCCCAGCAAUUUGCGGUCUAUAUCUUGGCUUUUGGCAGAAACGACAUUUUUCAAGCUUCUCAUCAUCUCUCCAAAAAAGCAUACAAUUAUCAACACAAACAUCAAUCAUCUCAGAAGGCAAUCCAAGACUAAAAACCAGCUUCUGAAUUUCAUAAUACGUUUCAGCAGCCAAAUUAUCAUCUGGCAAAUACUCUUUAAUAAGAUCUGCCCAAUCGUUCAUGCAAACUUCAGAUAGAUUGUGAUCUGUUUUUAUUGUCAUCAUCCGAGCUGUUAAUGAUAAUUUUGAUAAACCUUCCCUACAUCCCUCGUACAGAGGCUGUUUUGCUGCAUUUAACAUAUCAUAAAAGCAUUUCGCAUCUGCAUUGGGCUCCUCAACAGUAUCAGCAUGUGUUUCAUGAAAUGCAUCAGUAAUCAUUUCAUGCAUCCUAUCAUGAUCUUCACCCUGAACUUGACUACUUUGAUAAUCAUUGGACGCUUCAAAAUCCACAUGUUCUUGAUGAUUACUACUACUCCGUGCAGCCAUCUGACCACUACUUUGACCAUAUCCCUCUCCAUGCUGAUACCAAAUAAAGUAUUGGGGCAUGAACCCUCUAUUCAAUAAAUGCUGCCAGACAGUGUCAAUAAGAAUAUGUUUCCUAUUUUUGCAUUUCACACAAGGACAAUACAUUUUGCCGCUUUCAAUUACAGUUUCCAGAAGGCCGGCUUGGUACAUGAAUAUUUCCAAUCCGUUUUUGAAGUCUUCAGUCAACGACCCAUCACCAUUUUUGGGCGUAUACAUCCACUUUCGUAGAUCGUAUAUAGACAUUUCAAAAACAAAUAUUUGACUUUUUGUUUCUGAAAUUUGAUAGAAAUUUCAACUACCAAAAAUUUUACUUAAACAUUCAAAGACUCAAAAAAUUUGUUUUUAUAUGUUUUUUUGGGAUGAUGGAAUAAUGAGAGAAGAAAGGGUAUAUAUAGAAUUUUUUGUUUGGUUACCAACAUAUUACCAUUGCAUAUUUACAUCAAAUUUACGUCGAAAUAAAAUUUACAUCACAUUUACAUCGAUUUUACGUCAAUUACAAGAUAGAGGACAAUUCGUCGUAUUAUCGAUGUAAAUAUUACGACAAGAUUACGACGAAAUAAAAUUCGUUCUUUAUUCGUCGUAAAAUCGUCGUAACAUUACGACGAUUUUACGAGGGUUAUUUUUUACGUCGAAUUUACGACGAAAUUUUUGAUCGUCGUAAAUACGACGUAAUGUCGUCGUAAAUUUACGACGACUACAAAUCGUCGUAAAUAAUUCGACGGAAAAGCCCCUCUUUCUUGUAGUGGAUGGAGGAAGGAUUAUGAAGUAGUUCACAGGCGAAGAACGAGAUUAAAAGAGCGCAACGAUCCGCAACGGCGGAUUCGUUGAGAAAAUCGAAUGAAAAAUUUAGGUUGUCGCCUUGAAGAUCGCUUUUUGGGGGCGCGUGGUAUGGCGCGGAUCUUAUUUACGCGGUCCUGCGGAAAUAGGUGAUGAAGUGAAGAUGAUUGGAAUUCAGGGUCCUGCGGGGAUCGGUAAGACAACAAUUGCUAGAGCUUUAUUCAACCAGCUCUCUGCCGAUUUUAAACUUACAUGCUUUAUGGGGAACCUCAAGGGAAGUUAUGGGAGCGAUGGUAUUGAUGACUAUGGUUGGAAGUUGUAUUUACAGAGCCAACUUCUGUCCAAUAUUUUGAAGCAACAGGAAUUCAAGAUACACGAUUUAGGCGCGAUAAAAGAAAGGCUACGGUACCAAAAAGUCCUUAUAGUUCUUGAUGAUGUAGAUGAUCUUGAACAACUAAACGCCUUGGCUAAAGAACCAUCUUGGUUUGGUUUAGGAAGUCGUAUCGUCGUUACAACAGAAGAUAGAAAGAUAUUGAAGGCACAUUGGGUAAACAAUAUCUACCAUGUGGGUUAUCCAUCUGAAGAAGAAGCUCUUGAGAUCUUAUGUCUAUCCGCUUUCAAGCAAAGUUCUCCGUUGGAUGGUUUUGAAGGUCUUGCAAAAAAAAAAUAGCAAAUCUUUGCGGUAAUCUUCCCUUAGGCCUUCAUGUUGUGGGUUUAUCUUUGUGUGGGGACAGCAAGCAGGAGUGGGAAGAUCAAUUAUCUAACCUCAAAUCUAAUCUUGAUAGAAAAAUUGAGAACGUGCUAAAAGUGGGAUAUGAAAAACUAUUGGAUACAAAUCGAUCUCUAUUUCUCCACAUUGCAUUCUUCUUCAACAAUCAAGCUGUUGAUCAUGUGAAAACCAUGCUAGCUGGCAGUACGUUGGAUGUCAGUAAUGGGUUAAAUACCCUUGCGGAUAAAUCCCUCGUGUAUGUAUCGACCACUGGGUGGAUAACGAUGCAUUGUUUAUUGCAACAAUUGGGCAGACAAAUAGUUCAUAUGCAGUCUGACGACCCUGGGAAACGUCUUUAGAAGAGGCCUUAGAGAUUCGUGAUGUUCUGGCAAAUAAUUCAGUAAGUUCUUAUAUAUAUUCUCUAGACAACUUGCUCAACAAAUAUUUGGUUUUGUGACAACAUUUUCAUCAAUAUUUUCUUGGAAUACUUGUUAGGGUACUGGAUCUGUCUUAGGAAUAUCAUUUGAUACGUCCAAGAUGGACGAGUUCUCUAUAAGUAGUCGAGCCUUUGAAGGAAUGCAUAAUCUCGAAUUCUUAAGAAUAUAUGGGAGGUAUAUUAGUGCACUGCAGAUAUCGGAAGACAUGGAAUAUUUACCUUGCCUAAGGUUACUUCAAUGGAACUCCUACCCGGGAAAAAGUCUUCCUCCAAAAUUUCAGCUGGGACGUCUUGUCGAAAUCCACAUGCCAAUGAGCAAUCUCGAGAGGCUCUGGGGAGGAAUCCAGGUUUGAUAUUUUUAAAUAUGUAUCUAAGGAUUCAUUAUAAAAUAGGAUUGUAAUUGUCAAAACAUCAACUUUCAAAAUUGGGCAAUUCAAAGCAUUAAACUUUCGCGUGGACUUUCUAUUUAAAUCAUAUAUUUUUGCUGAUUAAGUAAAAUUAAUCACGUUGUUGAAUCAUCAUAUAUAUUAUAAGCGAAGUAAAAAUUUCGUUUAAAGUUCUCUCAUUUAAUCUCAAGGUGGCUAAUUACCCUUUACCCCUCCUUAAAUUAGUUUAAAUUAAUUUUUAUAAAAAAUUAUAUUAAAAAAACGAAAAUAAUGGUUUAAAUUAAGUUAACAAACCAUUAUCAUACCAUAUAUUAAAAAAAACCAAAAACAACGGUUAAGGGUUUAAAAAACAAAUACUUAGCGGCUAAUUACCCUUAACCCUUCUUAAAUUAGUUUAAAUUAAGUUUUAUAAAAAUAUAUAUUAAAAAAACGAAAAUAAUGGUUUAAAUUAAGUUAACAAACCAUUAUCAUACCGUAUAUUUUAAAAAAAAAACCAAAAACAAUGGUUUAUAGUUUAAAAACAAAUACAUUUCCCUUAAAGAGACUGCAGAGUAAAGUAUCUGUGAUUCUUCUGAAUACUAAACUUCCCUGAAGGGCAACAACGAUUGUAUCUGGAUUUCUUCUGGUAUUGUUCUCUUUUAAAUAAAGCCAUACAAGUGUUGCAAGUUGCAGCAGAAGUAAUUAAUUUUUAGACAAACAUUCUUUCGAUGCCAAGAUUCAGGUUUUUUUUUUAAAAGCUUGUCUUAGACCAGUUUGACUGCCGAGAAAACUGUGAAAGGAGAAAAAAAAAAGUGAUUUAGGAUUUCUUUAAAGCCAAGACGAGAGACAAAACAUCAAUAGGUUAAAUUACGCAAAUGAUCUCUAAAUCAUUUUGCAAGCUUAUAAGCUUCUAACAGAGGACAAGCUAGCGUAUCUUCUAGGUUUUAUCUUUAGCCAUAUAGUUGAUCUGACAGUUUUUACAGGUUUUGUCGAGAAACCAAGCUUCUGUAAUCAUACAAUCAAAUCAAGAGAAAUAAAGGGAAAAGCUUUGGUUGAAUCAGAAAUUAGCUUCGGUUUCCAAAGUUGAUCAACAACCCAUGAGAGAAAAAGAGUUGAAAAAAAAAAUUCAAAUAGAGAAGUUAACAAAAUUGGUUGAACAAAAAAAAAACUUUCAACUGUUCAACAUUCAAAUUAAGAGAAUAUAUUUUUUGUUCCCACUUGGUGGGCGUCUUUUGACAAACAAGAGAGAGCGAGAGUGAUAUAUUAAAUUGUGUCUUAUCUAUUGAUGACCGACAAAACCAUUAGUUUUCAUGGAGUAUUUUCAACUGGGAAAAUGCAAAGAAAAAGUGAGAGACACUAGAGAGGGAGAGAGAUAGAUGGUCGAAAAAUAAGUAAAAGUGGAAGUUUUAUAGCCACAAAGUCGUGGCUUUAAGCUCCACAGGAGGGAAGAAGAAUGAAGAACACAGAGGUAAUCGGUGAAUCUUUUCUCUGGCCAAUUACACAUAGGUGAUCAGUGUAUCAUACCAAGGAGACUUGGUUCCCAAGGCAAAUGAAAAUAGCGAAAGCUUCCACUUUCCUUCCUGGUUGCUAGAGAUUUUUGUAGCCGAUAUUAUAAAUUUAUAACAAUGUGCAACGAUACACAUGUUCAGUUCUAAUUCUUUGGCUAAUCUAUUAUAUGAUCGAUAUAUUGUAUAAGUCUUCUAUAAUCUUUUUUUAGUUUGCAUGAUGAUAUUGUAACGGAAGGAAGAAGAGUGUUGUGGUGCACUUUUUCUAUUAAUAUAUAGGUUCAUAUUUUUCUAUUAAAAUACCCAAAUUAAAAUGAAAUCCAAGCUAAACUAUAGGAAAGGUUCAUCUUUUUCUAUUAAUAUGUUUGGAAUUACAAAAAAAUCUCCAAAACAUUAAAAAGAAAAUAAAGUAUAAGAAACCGAAGAAGAAAGAAAACCUAGCAAAUUUUGCCACAGAUAACAACCUUAGACGUUGGCAGCCUGAUUGGAUUCAGUUGCGACAUAUUACUUUGGUCGAGUGAAUUUCAUUGACAUCAAAAAUGGUUUGGAUGUAGUAACAUGAAUCUGUUUUUGGGAUUUUAGGUUACGUUUAGUAGAAUUACAUGUACACGUGAUAGGAAAAAUUAACUAACUUCACAGUGCGUCUUGUGUUUAACUACAUAAUUUUGAGGAAAUUGUUUUAAAAGUUUGUGUGAGAGGGAGGAAGAGAGAGAGACGUAAAGAGAGAAGUAAAAGCCUUUAAAAACAUAUAUAUAUAUAUGGAGGAAAUGAGUGAGAGAGAGAGGGAUAGAGGGAUUAAUGAGUGAGAGAGAGAGAGAUGGAGGGAAUGAGUGAGGGAGAGGGAAAGAGGGAGCAAUGGAGAGAAGGAGCGAAAGAAAGGUGAAGCGCAAGAAGGAAAAUGCAUGAAAGACAAUGAAGACAAAGUAGAAGAAGGUAAAAAUGAGGAGAAAUACAAGAAAAAAGACAAAGACGACAAAGAAGAAAAAUCAAAAGGUAUAAAAUGGGGAAAGAAAGAAAACGAAGAAGUCACAUUUAUCUUAAUUUAGUUGGUUAUAGGUUUCAUACACUUAUUUACUAUUAUUUUUUUGGUUUUUAGUUUUGGAUGAUGUUUACUUUUUAUGAUUAGUUAUGUUUUU